GACAAGUGAAAGUGAUGAGAGUUUUCAAGAAUUAAAAGUUCGAUUAACUUUAGCACCUAUUUUAAGUAUUCUUGAGGGGAGUGGGGGAUUUGUGAUUUAUAGUGAUGCUUCAUAUAAAGGCUUGGACUGUGUAUUAAUGUAAUAUGGGAAGGUAGUGGCAUAUGCAUCCAUAUAGUUGAAAGAAUAUAAGAAAAAAUAUCUAAUUCAUGACUUGGAGCUGGCUGCAAUAAUAUUCGCUUUUAAAAUAUGGAAGCAUUAUCUAUAUGGUGAGCAAUUCGAAAUAUACACGGAUCAUAAGAGCUUGAAAUACCUCUUAUCUCAAAGGUUGGGUUUGUGUCCCGAAUGAUGAGAGUGUGAAGAAAGCUAUCUUGGAAGAAGCACAUCACUCUCGUUAUACGAUACAUCCUGAAAGUAUUAAAAUGUAUCAGGACCUGAAGAAAACCUUUUUGUGGAAUAAUGUAAAAAAAGAGGUAGCACUAUUUGUGUCUAAGUGCCUAACAUGCCAGCAAGUAAAAGCUGAGCAUCAAAGGCCAGCUGGGUUGUUGCAGCCUUUACCCAUGCCAAAGUGGAAGUGGGAGCACAUCUUUAUGGAUUUUGUCUCUAGCUUGCCUAGAACAAAUUCAGGACAUGAUAGCAUGUGGGUUAUUGUGGACCGGCUGACCAAAGCUGCCAAUUUUCUGUCGAUUCGCACGACGUACACUUUGGAUCGAUUGGUCUAGUUGUACAUUAAGGACAUAGUGCGGUUGCAUGGAGUUUCGGUCAGUAUUGUAUCGGACAGGGAUACUCGGUUUACUUCUAAAUUUUGGGCUAGGCUACAGUCAGCCAUGGGGACGAGACUCACCUUUAGCACUGCCUUUCACCCCCAAGCUGAUGGACAAUGGGAGAGGACCAUCCAAACCUUGGAAGAUAUGCUGAGGGCUUGUGUCAUUGACUUUACAGGAAGCUGAGAUGACCAUUUACCUCUGAUUGAGUUUGCUUAUAAUAAUAGCUUCCAAGCCAGUAUUCAGAUGGCACCCUAUGAAGCCCUGUAUGGAAGGAAAUACAGGUCACCCAUUUGUUGGGACGUGGGUGGUAAAAGAAAGCUUUUGGGGCAAUAAAUUGUCCAGGUAACCACAGAUAAGAUAUCAUUAAUUCGAGAAAGGCUCAAGACAGCUCAGAGUCAGCAAAAGAGUUAUGCCGAUAACCGAAGGAGAGAUUCUUGAAUUUGAGGAAGGUGAUCGAGUUUUCCUAAAGAUCUCACCAAUAAAAGGCAUUAUGAGAUAUAGUAAGAAAGGAAAGCUAAGCCCACGUUACAUCGGACCAUUUGAAAUCCUAGAAAGAAUCGGAGGUGUCACUUAUAGACUUGCCUUACCACCCGAAUUGGCAAACGUCCAUAUUGUCUUCUAUGUAUCAUCACAACGAAUAUAUCAGCCCGACCCAUCCCAUAUCUCCAAAUAUGAACCUUUACCUAUCAGAAAGGACCUAUCAUUCAUUGAGCAACCAAUUUUGAUACUGGAUAGAAGGGUACAAGUGUUGCGCAACAAGGAGAUUCCUUUNNNNNNNNNNNNNNNNNNNNNNNNNNNNNNNNNNNNNNNNNNNNNNNNNNNNNNNNNNNNNNNNNNNNNNNNNNNNNNNNNNNNNNNNNNNNNNNNNNNNNNNNNNNNNNNNNNNNNNNNNNNNNNNNNNNNNNNNNNNNNNNNNNNNNNNNNNNNNNNNNNNNNNNNNNNNNNNNNNNNNNNNNNNNNNNNNNNNNNNNNNNNNNNNNNNNNNNNNNNNNNNNNNNNNNNNNNNNNNNNNNNNNNNNNNNNNNNNNNNNNNNNNNNNNNNNNNNNNNNNNNNNNNNNNNNNNNNNNNNNNNNNNNNNNNNNNNNNNNNNNNNNNNNNNNNNNNNNNNNNNNNNNNNNNNNNNNNNNNNNNNNNNNNNNNNNNNNNNNNNNNNNNNNNNNNNNNNNNNNNNNNNNNNNNNNNNNNNNNNNNNNNNNNGGUUUAAGCUUUUGCUGCCUUGCCACGUCUUUUAGUGGACGUGGUUUUCAGGUGUUAAAGGCCGUCAAUUACGCGACACCUCAUACAUGAGAUGGAGGCGUUUUAAGGAAAUUAAAUGGACGAAAGGUAAGACGUCGCCUAACAACUCCUUUCUCUCUCUCCCUCUUACAACUUUUCAAAUAUUUUAGAUAAGUGACUUCAUUAUCUUGAAAAAUAAUCCGUUCUUUUUAAAAAUGAAAUGAAAUAAUUACUUUUGCUUAUUUUCAUGAAUUUUAGGCGUAUGCGCAAGAGACCUCAUUAUUUUGAAAAAUAAUAUUUUUAAUAAAAUUGUUAUAUUUUAUCUAUGUUAGAAAUUUUAAAUGCUGUAAAUUCUUAGAAAUAAAUUUAUUUUUCUUGUCUAUUGUUAGGAAAUUUUAGAUACUGUAAAAUUAUUAGAAAUAAAUGUGAUAUUUCUACUUUUAGUAAAAUUGUGAUAUUUCUUUCUACUGUUUUUGAAUAUUUAGACAUUGUAAAUUUCAUGUGCAAAACUGCCUUAUUAUUUGAAAACUAAUAUUUUUGCAAUUAAUUAUAGCAUUGUCUGUCAAAUGCUUAUUUGCGAAUUGACAUCCCAUAAAUUGUAAUAAUUCCGUAUUCUUGAAUUUUUAUAAGAGUUUUUCUAUAUAUUAGAUUGGCAAUUAUGCUAGAAUGUCUUUACGAAUUGCUACCUUUCUAAAUUUGAGCCCAAAAUAUUUGACUGGUUCUUUUUGAAAUGUUAUUGAAAGUGACUGUUAUUAAUGGUUUCAGUGAAAUUCAUAUUAAUAAUUUCAGUGAUAUGUUGAGUACAUGAUAUUGCUGCUUUCGAAUGUUUAAAGAGAUUUAGAAAUACUUUAACUAUGUAAGUGGACUCAUCCGGUUCGCCGGUGAGGUAUAAGUGGACCUAUCCGGUACGCCAGUAGGGAUUAAGUGGACUCAUCCGGUGCGCCAGUGAGGUAUAAGUGGACCUGCAGGGAUUAAGCGGAUUUAUCUGGGAUGCCAAUAGGGAUUAAGUGGACCCAUCAGGAUGCUGAUGGGGUAUAUAGGUGACCUACUUGGGACGCCAGUAGGGUAAUUUGUGAAAUCUUUUCAAUUAUGCACUGCCGUAAAAAUGUUAUAUGCAUUUCAAUUAUUAGAAUUAUACUUAAUUAUGCAUUUUUUAAAGUGAAACUGUUAAUGCAUUUCUGUUAAUAGAUCUUUUUUGAAAAUAUUGAUAUCUUUCAACCAUGAUUAUUUUUAGGAUUAUGAUGAUCACUUAAAAUUUUAGGUAUAUGUUAUAAAAAAUAUGUGUAUCUUUGAAAAAUAUCAAAAAAAUAUUUUACAUGAAAUAAAUUGACCAAAAUACCCCCAAAAGAUUUGGGGGUUUGGUCUUUUUUUUUGUUAAUAAUUUUUUUUAUAUUUUUAUUAGGUGCACCUUGAUGUGAAGAACACACACGUAAAAUUUCAAGUGAUUUGGAUUUGUUGAAAAAAAAAAAAGAAAUUUCAAGCACUGUCGGACAUCCGUGAUUGNNNNNNNNNNNNNNNNNNNNNNNNNNNNNNNNNNNNNNNNNNNNNNNNNNNNNNNNNNNNNNNNNNNNNNNNNNNNNNNNNNNNNNNNNNNNNNNNNNNNNNNNNNNNNNNNNNNNNNNNNNNNNNNNNNNNNNNNNNNNNNNNNNNNNNNNNNNNNNNNNNNNNNNNNNNNNNNNNNNNNNAUAGUAUAUAUAUAUAUAUAUAUAUAUAUAUAUAUAUAUAUAUAGGAUAUUCAAUUUGGGUGAUGGACACGACCUCUUUUGUAUUUGAAUUUUAAUUUUUUUCACAAAUCCAAAUCAUAUUAAAUUUUAAGAGUCUAUUAUUCUCUUCAACACGUACCUAAUAAAAAUAUUUUAAAGAUAAAUUUUAAAAUAUAAAUUGAUAAAAAUAAUCCUAAAAUGGCUAACUCUUGGAUAUUGGACAAGGGCAUUGAAGCCAUUCAUAGUGAAAAUUUAUUUGUUUAUGGCAGAUUUUCUUAGCAUCUAUUAUUCAGAUAUCAUAUCAUAUUAAAAUCUGAUUUUAUAUUUAACAGGCGCCCACAAUCUCAAUGAUAUUAAAUCAUAUCAUAUCACCAAAUUUAACUAUGUGGGUAAUAUUGGUUAAUGAGGCUUUACAAUGGUUGGUUAAUUAGCCAUUAAGAUAGUUGGAUUUAUAAUACCUGAACAGAAAAUAUAUUAAUGUUAACAUAGCCAUUAAGAUAGUUAAUAUUAUAAACAGAUAGUUAAUAUUAUAAACAGCUACAAUUAUAUUAUAAACAUUAAUUUGGGUAUUAUCAUUUGGAUAAUGUAAGGAACAAUAUUGGGCAUAACAUUAAUUUGGGUACUCAUAAUAUGGAUAAUGUGAGGAAUAUUGGGUAAUCAUAAUGUCAUGAUAAUGAGAAGUAAUAAUAAUGGGUAAUUAAUGGGUAACUAUCUUAAUGUCUAACUAUGAUUGUAAUAUUAAUUUACUUGAAUAAAAUCAUAUUUGAAUUAAUAAUUAAAUUUAACUCUUCAACUUGGCUGUUAAAAUUUAAAUAGGCUUAUUUGACCUUAAUGCUCCUUUCAAUAUUUAUAUGACAUAGUUAAUGCGCCAUAUCAGGUAAGAAUAUCAUAUAAAUAUUCUUACCUGAUAUUGUAUCAUUAUAAUGUCAUAUCAUAUUAAAAUCUAAUAAUAGCAUCUAUUAUUCAUAUAUCAAAUAUCAUGGAUGAACAAAACAAUAUCCAAGACCUUAUUAAAAUAGAGCUGAACAUCUUCACUGCCCUGAAUGAGGCUUCAUAAUGGUAAUUUGGACUUCAAUUGACCAUUCAUAUUGAUAAUGACUUUAUAAUGGUCACAUUUACAGUUAUUAUUAUUAUUAUUUGUUUUUCUUGAAUAAGAAGAACUAUCAUCAGAACUUAACAUCAAUAAGUUUUCAUCCUCAAUGGUACCAACAACCAUCUCUUUUUCAAAAUCUGAAAGAGAUUAUAGCUCAUUUGCAAUGAUAAUAUGAAGAAUUUGUUGCUUAACCUCAUCAUCUAUUUCUAAAGAAUUUAUUUUCUUUUUAAUGUGACAUUUAUUCUUGUAAUGUCCUAACAUCCCACAAUUAUAAUAAUAUGGAAUUGUCUUUUAUUUACUUCUUUAGAAAAUUUGGAUCUUUUUUUCUUAAAGAAUUGAUAUCAAAGAAAGUAACUCACUACCAUAUUGUCUAAAUUAGACAUAAAAGAGAAAGAUCCCCAAAGUUCUAAUCAAGCCUUGACUCUUCAUGAUAGAACUGUUGAUUAUUCAAAGGAAGAGUAGCUAUGAUUGAAAAUUGAUUUAAUCCAAAUAAGGAAUUAAAUAGAAUUUCUUACGGAACUAAAACAGUCCCAACUGCCCUCACAAAAAUGUAUUAUCCUAGACCCUCACCAGUAAAUCUUCAGUAUGAAGAAGAAGCUAUUGGAGAUGCUGAAUACUGUGGCAGAACUAUUGUCAAGUGUAAUAUUGAUGGAAUGUCUGAACAUCAAAUUAUAAACUUAAUGAAGCCGAUGAUUAUGUAUGCCACAACCUCUAACAAUAACGGCAAUAAGGACCAGAUAUUGCCAGAGCCAUUGUUUGUGAUUAGACAUAAAAGAGAAAGAUCCCCAAAGUUCUAGUCAAGCCUUGACUCUUCAAGAUAGAACUGUUGAUUAUUCAGAGGAAGAGUACCUAUAAUUGAAAGAUGAUUUAAUCCAAAUGUGAAAUUAAAUAGAAUUUCCUAUGGAACUAAAACAAUCCCAACUGCCUUUACAAAAAUGUAUUAUCCUAGACCCUCACCAAUAGAUCUUUAGUAUGAAGAAGAGGCUAUUGGAGGUGCUGAAUACUGUGGCAGAACUAUUGUCAAGUGUAAUAUUGAUGGAAUGUCUGAACAUCAAAUUAUAAACUUAAUGAAACAGAUGACUAUGUAUGCCACAACAUCUAACAAUAAUGACAAUAGGGACUAGAUAUUUACUGGCCAACUUGAAAGGAUGAUGGGAUUUUGUCCUAGAUGAAAACACUAGGAGCCAAUUACUCAAUGCUAAAAAGCAAUUGAUAGUCUAUAAUUAGGUUAUCCCAGAAAUUAAACAAGAAAACCAGGUAGAUGAGGAUGAUGAUGUAAAUACUUUACUUUAUACAAUUACUCUAGAUUUUGUAGGCUAUAUUACUUUACAGCUAGAAAAAUCAAAAGACUUAUUAUCAAAUCUAAGGUGUCCUACUCUUUCGCAUUAUAAAUAGUAUAAAGAUGUUUUCUGGUCUAGAUUGUUAACUAGAAAAGAUGCUAAGGUAGAUUAUUGGAAGGAAAUGUUUGUUGAAAGACGUCCCAAUUUAUUAUCCAAAAUGGUAAAAUCUAGACUGAGAAAUAAGCAUGACGGGGUAAUAUCUUGGGAACAAUAUACACUUGGCCAAAUUUCAUCAUAAAUUUAUGCAGAAGGGCCUCUAUGCACUAAUAUUAGGCUAAAAAGACAGGUAGAAAAAGAUAAAAUAACUGGUAAAAAAAAAACUAGAUAAUUUCCGUGAACAAUUUGGAUAUGAGAUCCUAGUCAUUGGUUAUAAUUCUAAUAAGAAGCAUAAGGAUAAAUCAUAUAAAAAGAAAAAUCUUUUAAAAAUAAAACUUAAAACUUUUUAGAAGGAAAGAUCCAAAUUUCCUAAAGAAAGUGUUUCACCCCGCCACAUAUAUAUCCAUCGCAAUUUAUUCAACGGAGCCACAAUGAACGGUGUGUGGUCCGUGGCAGCUUCCUUGUGUUUUUUAACCACAACGGACCUACUAUAUCAGUUGCGGUCUUUUAAUCCAUGCUGUCCGAAAAAAUCGGACAGUGCCGAGCCUAUGGGCGAAAACACUGUUCAUUUUCGCCCAUAGUUUUGUGUUGAGCCUAUGGGUGGAAAAGGUUGUUUUAAUGUUGAAAACCCUCUAAUGGAUCAUCUCGACAUCGAGAUAUAUGAAUAUGAAAAAAAAAACAAAAGAAAAAAAUUUGAGCCCCAAAAAUAGUGCAUCUUGCAGCAUAUAUUACCUAGACCAUUCAUUUUCAAGAUUUUCAUAUAUUUAUAUAUCAACUUGAUUUUAACCAUUUUUUAGUUUAAAAUUUUAUAAUAAGAUAUGAAAAUAGAUUUUUCAGAUAAACCUAAGGAUUUUUUACUCCAAAAUUUUAUGUUAUAAUAAAAUUUGGAGGUACACGGGGUCGUUUGGGUACCUGAAAAUCUACUACGUGAUACUAGAUUACAAGGAAAUAUGAUAUUUCCAUUGUUUGGGUACAAAGAAAUAUGACAUUUCUACUGUUUAAGUACAUCUUAAUAGUAAGGAAAUAGAAAGAGAUUACCCUAGAUUACCCAAGAUUUCUCAAAAAAUCACUAAAUCUAUUAGGCGCAUUGAGGAGUGAAAAAUCUAUUAUCAACUUGAUGGGUAAUGUUUGGAAAUCUUUGGCAUGCGUCGCCCUAUUCCCACUUAAACAAAUAUUUCAAAAUCUAUUACCGACUUGAGAGGUAAUCUUUGGAAAUCUUUCACGUGCGUCUCUCUGCCUAAUCCCGCUUAAAAAAAUAUUUCCCUCUGUCAAGUCUAUAGUGUAUUGUCCACUCAAAAAAAUAUUUCCCUCUCUCAAGUCUGCGCUGUAUUGUAUAAUUAUUAAAGUAAGUAGAAAGUGAAAGUAGGGAUAUGAAAAUGGGAAUCUAAAUUAAUUUGAACAGUUGUACGAACUUAUUGAGGAACAAUUUUCUAUUGCAAUCAUAAUAAAACAAUUUUUACAUCCCUCUAUCCCUAAUUUGGAUGGUAGCUAAUAAUUAGUAAGCGGGGAAAUCUAAAUUGAUUCGAACAGGUGUAGAACUUGAUAAGGGACAAUUUUUUAGUGAAAUCAUAAUAAAAAAAUUUCUACAUCCCUCUAUCCCCAAUUUGGGUUGUAGUUCUCAUUUGAAACCUUUAGCUCUCAUAUAAAACAAAAAUAAUAAAAAUAAUAAUUGGUAAUCGAUGAGAAAUUACACAACACAAUCAUAAUAAAAAAUUUCACUCAACAUAAGCCUAAUAAGAGAUUAGUAAAAGCUCAAUUGAAAUAAAAUAAUAAUUGAUAAUCGAUGAAAAAUUACACAACAGAAUCAUAAUAAAAAAUUUUACACAACAUAAUCCUCAUAAGAGAUUAGUAAAAGUACAAUUGAAAUAAGAUACAUAUUUGGUCUCCUCCAAUGCUUCAAAUUUUAUACUGCAAUUACCAAACCUUCUAGUUUACUAAUCAAACUUCUUCCCAUUUUUUAACUUAUACCAUUAAGAUUUUGAUUUGGUAUCAUAAAUUUAUUGCUUAUUUGAAAUUAUAUAUAGAAAGACAUUUGAAAGACUUCUAUAAUAAAUAAAUAAAAAUAAAGCUUAUCACAAAAUUCCAAUCAUAUUAUUCCAAUGACUUAUCAUGUUGAAACCAAAAUCUAAUCAUUUUAACUAAACAUAGCUAUAUUUUCAUAUCUGAUUGGUAAUGCAUUUCCCAUAUUUCUUCGAGACAUAGCCAACCAGUAGUAAUGUAUUUCCCAAGUUGCAUCUAAAUACUACCCAAAUAUUGACAAUCCAUUUGCAGAUAAUGUAUUAUGCAGUAAUGUAUUACGUCAGUAAUGUAUGUCACAGACAAUACAUUUCUAGGUAUCCAAACGGCCCCUAAUUAAAAUGUUUAAGUUCACAACCUUAUAGAAACCACACCCUUUAAAAUAAUAUGAUUUUGUUAGUAUUUCUAAAUUAUUAUUUUGUAGAAAGAAAGAACUUGUGGAUCGAGUCGAAAAGACAAUUGUUUCUGGCCGUUGGAUUUCACGAGGUGGUUGAGAUCAGUGUUCGAAAAACCGGUUGAUUUAGCUGCUAACUGACCGGUUAGAUUGGAACCGGCCAGCGACCGGUUUUGGUGGUCACCCGCUAUUUUAAACGUUAAAUAGAAUAUUACUACAAGUUUUAUCAAAUAUAUUAUGAUGGUUUAUUGAAUAGAUUUAACAAAUGUUUUUUAUAUGAAUUAGGGUUCCAUUUAUAUGAAUUAGGGUUCCAUUCCCGCCGCCAACUUUCUUUAUGAAUCAGGGUAUUAGGGUUCCAUUCCCGCCGCCAACAUUCUUUUCUUUAUGAAUCAGGGUUCCGGUUCCAUUCCUGCCGUCAGCAUUCUUCCGAAUCUUUACUUUUAAGAAUUGUUAUUUACUUUUAAGAAUAGUCAUUUCAUUGGUUAAGGGAAAAGUUUAUAUAAGGUUGCAACCUUAAAAUGUAGAAUUACAAUUGCACAUCAAAAAUCUAUUGUAAAGGCUAUUUUAAUGUUGAAACCUCUAUUUAAUCAUCUCGACAUCGAGAUGUAUGAAUAUAUAAAAAAAAUAUUUUUGAGUCUAAAAAAUAGUGCAUCUUGCAACACAUUAUCUAGUCCGUCCAUUUUCAAGAUUUUUAUAUGUUUAUAGAUCUCCUUGAUUUUAACUAUUUUUGGAGCUUAAAAUUUUCUAAUUAGAUAUGAAAAUAGAUUUUAAGANNNNNNNNNNNNNNNNNNNNNNNNNNNNNNNNNNNNNNNNNNNNNNNNNNNNNNNNNNNNNNNNNNNNNNNNNNNNNNNNNNNNNNNNNNNNNNNNNNNNNNNNNNNNNNNNNNNNNNNNNNNNNNNNNNNNNNNNNNNNNNNNNNNNNNNNNNNNNNNNNNNNNNNNNNNNNNNNNNNNNNNNNNNNNNNNNNNNNNNNNNNNNNNNNNNNNNNNNNNNNNNNNNNNNNNNNNNNNNNNNNNNNNNNNNNNNNNNNNNNNNNNNNNNNNNNNNNNNNNNNNNNNNNNNNNNNNNNNNNNNNNNNNNNNNNNNNNNNNNNNNNNNNNNNNNNNNNNNNNNNNNNNNNNNNNNNNNNNNNNNNNNNNNNNNNNNNNNNNNNNNNNNNNNNNNNNNNNNNNNNNNNNNNNNNNNNNNNNNNNNNNNNNNNNNNNNNNNNNNNNNNNNNNNNNNNNNNNNNNNNNNNNNNNNNNNNNNNNNNNNNNNNNNNNNNNNNNNNNNNNNNNNNNNNNNNNNNNNNNNNNNNNNNNNNNNNNNNNNNNNNNNNNNNNNNNNNCAAAAACCAUAUGCCAUUUACUACUUAGUUGGUAAAAAUAAGGGUUUAUAACAUUUUUUUUUUUAUUUUCUUUUAAGAGAAAAAGAUCAUUUUUUUUAAAAGAUCAUUUUCGUUAAAGAAAAGGAUUAUUUUUUUUUGAAAAAAAGAGUUGGUCAACUCGAUUUUCUUAAUACUAUUUUAAUAUUCUUUACAUUAUGGUAAAGCUUAAAAAAUAUUUUGGUCAUUGAUAAUCAAGCCCCUUCUAGAAAACCGAAGUCUUUUCUUGUCCCAACAAAAGAAGAUUAUAGUUUCUAGGAUAUUUUGAAAAGGGUACAAAAUAAAACAUAUACAAAAAAGAACCUUCAAUAUUUGAGCUAGAAUAUGAAAUAAAUGAAGUCAGGAAUGAGUUGAUAGCUUUAAAAGCAAGGGUUCAAAUCUUAAAGUUAACUCAGAACCCUAUCAGCGAAGCAAUUGAAGAAGAAGAAGAAAAAAGAUAAGGUGAAUUUGAUAAUCUAAUCACUGAAUAUAAUAUUCCUUUACCACCUGAAGUUGAAGACACCUUCCUAAGCUUGAAACCUCAAAAGCUAGUAUGAAUAUAAUAGAAAAGGUCCAAAAUUGUAAAUAUGUAUUAAAAAUACCUAUAAGAUGAAAUCGACUCGUUAAAAUCCAUUUUUUCAUUAAUUUUCAACUUCAUUUGAGUGUGGUUUGUUUUAAUUACAUCCUUUAUAUGCUUUUCAUAUUUUAGUAGAUUUUUUGUAUCUUUUUACUUUUUUAACAUUUUUUUAAUGGUUCCAGAAUUGUCCGGUUAGAGCGGUUGAAUCAACCGAUUUACCAGUUAGGCAGGUUAAAUCGCUUUCAAGCCGUUGUCCGGUAUACCGUUUUGGUUCGAUUUUACAAACACUGGUUGAGAGAGUUGACAGGUGUUAAAAUACGUGACUAUUAGGUGUUUGGCAGUUAGUGAUGUUUAGCUAGUUAUAACUGCCCUAACGAAUCAUAUCUCUCAACUCAAAAGUAAAAAUUCAAGAGAAAAGAGUGUUCUAAAGUUGAAAAAGGUGUAUGCAUAUAAAGAAAAGAAAAUUCAAAUAUUAAAAAUAGUAUAAAAUUGUAACAACUUAUCUUGACUAUCUAUUUUCAAGUGUUUAUAAAUAUGCUUCAUUUGUAUUUUUUUUGAAAAUUUAAAUUUCAUAACUAGAGUUGAAUAUAUAUUUUCAACUCAUCGGAAGAUCUUUGACAUGAAAACUACAUCUUCCAAUAAAAUAUAGAUGAGCUCCUUACUUGAAUAGUAAAAGGUCAUCAUCUUAUACAAACAUCACCCCUGAUCUUACCCAAAUUCUGGAAAUAACUAUUUUCUCUCUCUCUCAAUAAAAUUUUCAGCAAUAACUAUUUUCUUUCACUAGAAAUAAUGCAAUUGCGGUGCAAUAAAAGCUUAAUAUUUUUAGUGCAAUAGUUAUCACAUAGAUAUUUUGUUGUUAGGUAUUAUGAGGACUAAUUUACCCGGCACAACCCUAUGCACCCCAAUUUACCCGAAACAACAACUUAGUAUAGCUAGAAAUAGGAGGAUCUAUCCUUCCAUGUAAUUUUCAAAUCCUCCACAACAUGAAAAUUUCAGCCCUCAAUUCAGUCACACUUUUAUUUUCAACAAUUCAACACAAUAUUCGUUGGUGAAACAAUGGAAAUAACAAGUUUUUUAAAAAAGAUAAGCCAAACUUGAUUUAUUUGUUGGGAUGAAUUUUAAAAGGUGGGAACCAAACUUUUUUAGUGACCAAGCGUAAUGUCAGAUUUGUCAUCACCAAUCAAAAACCAAUUUACCAUCACCGAGUGCAAGAGUACAGAGACCCCAAGCUAUCCAAAUUUGCACAAAGUGGUUCGAGUGCAAUGAUAUUUGCAAGGGUCACAUCCUCAAUGCACACAAUAAUCUGAUAUGAUACAUAAUCAUUGAAUAACUGACGAUUUUUCAUUUUAAAUUAUUUAGAAUUUAAGCUCACUUAAAAUAAGUUCAUCUUCAGCCAAUCGUGUUAUAAUCUCAACUCAAAAGCCAUGUUCUCACUAUAUUAAUAAGAUUCGUUUUUCUCACUUUAAAUAACGUUUUUUACCUAAAUUUCUAGCAACAACUACUUUUUUCUCUCUAAAAUAAAUCUCUAGCAAUAUCUACUUUUUCUCUCUCAAAAUAAAGAGGGUAUUAAAGGCCCACUAUUUUAGUGUAUUUAGUAGACAAGAUGUCAUAGAGUUCUUCUGUUUUUAGGUAUGGAAAGGACUGGUUUGCCUGAUACAAACUUAUGCACACUCAUUUUAAUCAUGGGGUGUGAUUUGUAUAAGGUUGAGGCCCUAAACAAUUAACUAAGGCGUACAUUCAAAUAGUAUCAAAAGAUGUCACUUCAAUACCCAAAAUCUUUAUGAUAACCUAAAAUUUAUUUUUAUUUCUAAUUAUAAGAUUUAAAGUUUAAAAAAUAGUGUAGAUCAAGCUGAGCACUUCAAAAUCUUGAAAAGUUGACGAUCUAUAUCAUACAUUACAAGGUGCACUAUUUUCAAGACGUGAAAUCUAUUUUUUCUGUGUCCAUGUAUUUCAAGGUCGAGAUGAUCGGAUUUGAGGGUUUUUCGACUUCAAAGCAACUUCUUCUAGUGAAGUCCAUUUUUGAAGGCGCAUCUUAUUUUGAUGGUUUGAGGACUUGAUCUGAUAUAAACUCUUUCCUUUUUUGAUGGUUUGAGGACUUGAUCUGAUAUAAACUCUUUCCUUUAAUCAGUAUAGAGCAAAUAUGGUCUAGAGACAAUACUUUAUGGGUCGUUUGGGACCCUAGGAUAUGCAAAUCCAGGUUUUGAUGGCUUAAGGUUGUUUAGAUGAGUUUUUGAGACCAUAUCCUAGAUAUCCAAAUCCUCAAAACCACUCAUGUUAAGCAUUUGCUCAUUCUAAAAAAAACUUGGAAUGUGCAAAUAGGGAAAGCUAGCUUUUUUUUAUUAGGGUCCGUGCCUCCUCCCUCUUUUUUUUACUCCCUUCUCAAAAUAAUGAUAUUAUUUUAUAGUUAUAAUAUUUUAUAUUAAAUGUUUACUAUUAUUAUAAUAAUAAUAAUAAUAAUAAUAAUAAUUACUAUUAUUAUAUUAUAUAAUUAUAAUAUUAUGUGUAUUAUUAUUAUUCCAAAUAUUUAUCAUAAAAUAUAUUAUAAUAUUAUAAUUAAAUAUAUUAUAAUAUUAUAAUUAAAUAUAUUAUAAUAUUAUAAUUAAAUAUAUUAUAAUAUAAUCAUAACAUUAAUACAUUUGUGUAUUAUUAUAAAUAUUUAUCAUUGAAAAUUUUAGUUAAAUAUAUUUAUUAUAAUAUAAUGUUGUUUCUUGUUAUAUUAAUAUAAUAUGAUUUAUUACUAUAUAAUUAUUAUAAUUAGUGNNNNNNNNNNNNNNNNNNNNUUAUUAUUAUGGUUGUUAUCAUGAUUGUUAUUUUUAUUGUUGUUAUUAUUAUUUUUUAUAAAAUAUUGUCAACAACAUUAAUAUUAAUAUUAUUAUAUCUAAACAGGGUAUUUGUUAUAUGCCAAAGGCACCCAAACGACAUCUAUCCUUGAAGCAUGUUUUACAAAAUACUGGAAUUUGCGUACCUAGGAUUUAAAUGCAUGACCAGCUUUUGCAAAUAUUAGGCCCCAAAUAGCCCAUUAGCAUGCUUGAAAAUAGGAAUAUCCAUCCUUAUUUGUGAUUUUAAAAUCCUCUACAAAAUUCCAGCCCCCAUUUCAUCCGCACCAUUAUUUUAAAAUUAGGAAGUUGGUUAUCAUCCCUGCUCUUUAAAGGUCGUCUGACUUGAUAGGACCCCCUUUUAGUCUUCAGAUAUGUAUAAACCCCUUAGAGGAAGUUUGCAAUUACCCUACAUGCUAUGUCCAUUCCUUGCAGGAAGCUAGUCACUCUACAUGAUGCAUCCAUCCCUUGAAAAGGAAUGAGUUACCCUACACAGUACUAUAAACACCUAUUUAAAGUCAACUACCCUAUAUCAUCUCUAGUGAUAGGGUUUUUUGUUAUUCUUACUGUGAACCCAUUUACCACGAUCAAUAAGAUAGUUUAGAAAUCAAUGCAAAAUUAUAUCUUUUGAAUUAAACUAAAAUAAGAAUAUAAUGAUAAACUCUCUAUCCCAAACAAUUCAACAAUGAGGAUUAAACACUAAGAAGAAGAUCACCACCGCAGAGAGCACCCUAAAAUUGCCAAAUAUAAUACAAGCAACAAAAAUAAAGAGAAGGCUAUAAAAGAGCAUAGUAAUUGUGUUGUAAUCCUCUUAUAUCUUUGUUGGUUUAUAAUUAUUUAUUUGCUGACAACUCCUUUUCACAUAGUUGUUCUUCUUUCACAUGAUUAACCUUUUUACAUCCUAUUAAAUGUUUGGUAGAAGGUUUUGGUGUGAUAGUGAGGCUGAAAACGUAAGAUUUUUACUAAGGUUUCAUUUUCAAUGAUAAACAAGAAAUGUAAAAAACAGUAGAGGGAGAGAAUUGGGUGCCUUUUAAAAAACAGUAGAGGGAGAGAGUUGGGUGCCUUUUGGUAAAAAUUGACUAGAGAAUAAGGAAAUUUUAAAUGUUUAUUGAGAGAAAAUUAUAGAGUGAGGAAGGCUGGGUGGGAAAUUGCGUUUUUUAUUUAAUGCUCUCAAGUAAGAGCCAUUUUAUAGUUUUUAUUUUUUUGUUUGUUUAAUGAAAAACUAGUGAUUAUCGACUCGUUGGAUAUAGUCAUCUCUAUGAUGAACCAUGUAAAUUCUAGUAUUUUUUCUACGUUAUUUCUUUCUUGCUUCUUUUUUUUUUCGUCGUAAUUGUUGGUUGCUUGUUGCUAGAUCUAUUUUCACACUAUUUAUUUGUCAAAAAAAUCAAGUCAUUGGGUUUUAAAGCUGCCACGCACAACAAUUGUAUCUCAGGAGUAUAUGCUCGCCUAAUUCCAAUCGUGUCUUGAUUUCCACCACUAGAGGGUAUUUACUACAUUGAGAAUGCAAAAAUUUCUCAUACAUUCGAGGUUACAUAAAGAGUCUACCCACUAAACAAAAGAAGACCUCAAAAUUCACUCUUUGAAUCUAUGUCCACAAUUCCUUCUCUCCAACCCAAAGUUUAAAAUAACGAAUCGAUCAAGAUCUAUAAUCCGGCGUAGUGAACCAACUGAUAAAAGAAAAAUCGAGAAUAAAAAAGUUUGGCUGAUUCUUGGUUCUGACUGAAUUGGAUAGCUUUGUAAGAUAAUCGGGUAAAACGAGCCAGGUCUUAGAGGAACCGGCUGUUGGGUUUAUGUGGCAUUUAAGGGCCUUAUGAGUGUGUAUUGAAAUCUUUUUAUUAUAGUGAAAUAUAAACUCAGUGGGAGUGUGGUCUCUCAAAGAUCAUACUAAGCGAAUGAUGUUUGCUUAUACUGGACUGUGCUUAUUGAUCUAGGCCAAUCGGUUGGAAAACCCAAGGUACCUGAGAAUAAAGAAUUAACCGAGGAGGGUUUUGGGUUAGCCCUUGAUGCGGUCGGAGCUUAUGCCUAAAUGAGUGAGCCAAGGGACUGUGUGACCCUUGUGUGUGAUGGUAGGCCUACUGAGACGGGGGUCAAAACCUCAUCCAUGUUCCAUCCCACGACUUGCAUAUCGAUAGAUUGUUCGGAAAAGCUAGACAUCCACCUUUGGGUGAAGCGUAUGCAUGUGCGAGAGAUACCCGUAUGCGUCAUAGAGCUGUAGUCACAUCAGAUCGUGGUGACCUUGACUUGUCUCUAGGGGAUGACUUGUAAUCCACAGACUGGGAUUGCGACCCUUUGAUUCAUCGGCCUGACUUUGGUGACCCGCUAAUGAGCCCCUGCUUGGACUCUGGGUCAUGGGAAACACUGGGUCAGUUCGAUAAAGCUAGUGUUGCCUGUAGUCCACAAUUGAAGGUGGAGUACUCCAUAAUUACAAAUUGAAUUCCUAAAACCAUAUGGAUCAUUUUCCCAUCAUAUUAAUUUAAUUGUCUUCAUUUUAUUAUUGAAAUGAUUUUAGUUUUAUUAUUUAAAUUUUUAUGAAUCUCUCAAUAUUUUAUUUAUGAAUUUUGGACUUAUAAAAAUACAAUUAUUGAUUUUAUAAANNNNNNNNNNNNNNNNNNNNNNNNNNNNNNNNNNNNNNNNNNNNNNNNNNNNNNNNNNNNNNNNNNNNNNNNNNNNNNNNNNNNNNNNNNNNNNNNNNNNNNNNNNNNNNNNNNNNNNNNNNNNNNNNNNNNNNNNNNNNNNNNNNNNNNNNNNNNNNNNNNNNNNNNNNNNNNNNNNNNNNNNNNNNNNNNNNNNNNNNNNNNNNNNNNNNNNNNNNNNNNNNNNNNNNNNNNNNNNNNNNNNNNNNNNNNNNNNNNNNNNNNNNNNNNNNNNNNNNNNNNNNNNNNNNNNNNNNNNNNNNNNNNNNNNNNNNNNNNNNNNNNNNNNNNNNNNNNNNNNNNNNNNNNNNNNNNNNNNNNNNNNNNNNNNNNNNNNNNNNNNNNNNNNNNNNNNNNNNNNNNNNNNNNNNNNNNNNNNNNNNNNNNNNNNNNNNNNNNNNNNNNNNNNNNNNNNNNNNNNNNNNNNNNNNNNNNNNNNNNNNNNNNNNNNNNNNNNNNNNNNNNNNNNNNNNNNNNNNNNNNNNNNNNNNNNNNNNNNNNNNNNNNNNNNNNNNNNNNNNNNNNNNNNNNNNNNNNNNNNNNNNNNNNNNNNNNNNNNNNNNNNNNNNNNNNNNNNNNNNNNNNNNNNNNNNNAAAAUUCCAUGUAGGGCACAAAGUGCACAUGGGCCCACCAUGUGGCAUGUGGGUGGGAGGCCCACCAUGUGGCAUGGGGGUGGGGGGCCCACAUGUGCCACAUAGGGGUGGCACGCCCCACCCUUUGGAUGCUUGUUAUUUGCUUUGUGUUGAAGUCUUUAAGUUAUGGUAACUUUGAUUUGUGGCAUGUGAUCAAAUCUUGGAAGGGAAAUAUUGACUAUGACUUAUUUUGUUUUAUAGCAAGUUUGCUUUAAGCGGAUAUGGACAAUUUGAAUAGAUAGUAAAAAAUUGACCUCAUCUUAUUUAUAUUUGGUAGUAUUUAUUUGCUUGAUAAUUUUUGACAUAUCCUUAUGGAAUAUGUGAGACGGAACAUGCAAUUUUAUGGAAUGCAUGAUAUUUAUUUUAUUUAAAUAUAUUGAUGGGAAAAUGGUUUAAAGAAAGGGGGAUAAUAGUCCAAGCAUUUUUCAAAAUGUUGAUGACCCAUUUAUGGAAUUGAUGACUCAAAUCUCUCACCCCACAAGUCACCUUGAUCAACGGUCUAGAUUCAAUCUCCUGAAAGAGGCAAACUAUGAGAAAACCCUAAGAAACCCUAAACCUAAAUAUUCACUAUAAAUAGGGGUGCUCUCCCCUAUGUCUACACACCCUCUCUCUCUCCCCUAAUCUCUCUCAUCUCUCUCUCUCUCCUAGAGGGGCACGCCCUACUCUCUCUCCUCUAUAUUUCUCUUUCUAACUUUCUCUCACCAAAACUCUAGAUAAUAUACUCUCUCCUCUAUAGACCUAAGGAGAAACUAAGGGUUGGAAAAAUUAGAGGGAGCCUAAGUUAAUUUUGGGGCUUAAGGUUUAUUAGAGAUUUUAAGGGUGGUUACCUAGUUUGGCCGAAAUCAGUUAUCUCGGUUCGAGAUUGAAGCUAGACCGCAGAUCCAGUGCCAUUGGAUGUAGUGACUCGGUGUGGGGUGUAAAAACCCGGUUGAGGUAAUCUCCGACAUCUUUUAUUUUAUUUGCUUGAUCUUAGAUUUUAUAUUCUCUAACAUAGUAUUGGGUUGUAUGAAUGGCAUCAAAUAAUUGAGGUUUAUUUUAUUGAUGUGCUAUUUAUUUUUAGAAUAUUUAUUCUUUGUAAUAAGACCUUCUGUGAGUGAUCUUAUUGCCAAAAACAUAUGGGGUGAUUAUUAAAAAAAAAAAAUUUGUAUUUCUCGACAAAAGAUCACAUAGGUCUUUCUUUCAUUGGUAUCAGAGCUAGUUUUACUUGAUUGUCAUUAAGAGUCUUUUCUUAUUUUUGCUUGAGAAUAGAAAUAUAUGGUUGAUCGUACCUUCAUUUCAAAGAUCCUACAAACCGAAAGGUUUGAUGAGACCAAUUUUGUUUCAUGGAAAAGAAAAAUCAAAUUUGUGCUCUAUGAGGAAAACUUGCAUGAGGUACUCUUUAAGGACCGACCUCGUCGUCCAAUUGACGACUCAUAUCAAGUCGUUAAAGAUGAGUACCCCAAUUGGAAGAAGAGGAAUUUGAGAUGCAAACACAUUCUUUUAUUUGUCAUGAUUGACUCAUAUGCUUCUGAAUAUGAGUUAAUCUAUACUGCAAGUGAGAUUUAUGAUAAACUUGAGAGAGAGUAUGUUGAACCCUCUCUUAUGAAGCAAACAAUGGCGAUGAGGAGGUAUAAUGAAAUAAAGAUGGCAGAAGGUACCAAGUUUGCAAAUCAUGUGCACGUGUUUCGUGCGCUAGUAAGAGAGCUAAAAGACACAGACAUGAAACCUAAUGAACCUAUGCAAGUGACUCAUCUUAUGAAUUCCCUUCCUAAUUCAUGGGAGACCUUCAUAUCUUCCAUCUCAGCCAGAAGAAAAGCACCAAAACUGGAGGAGCUCAUCACUACAAUCAAAGCAGAAGAGGAGAGGAAAAAUUCAAGGCAACUAGUGACAACAACUUCAAGGGAAGUUGUGCAUAUGAUAAAAUGUUCACCUUCUAUUAAAUUUAAGAAGGGAAAGGGAAGAAAUCAUUUUGGAAAGAAAAGAGAUUUCAAAAUGAGAUAUUUUGGAAAUAAGGGAGCAAAGAGAGAGACUAGAACUUGCUUUAUUUGUAAGAAAGUGGGUGAUAUAGUCAAUAGUUGUCGAUUUAACAAAUCUGGAGGGACCAAUAAAGAAUCAGCAUGUGUGGUUUUUUAGUCUAUGCUGACUGACCCCUAGGGAGCCUCUUGGUGUCUUGACUCAAGUGCUACGGCCCAUGUCAUAAACGCCAAGGAUGAUUUCCGUUCUUUCACUCCCAUGGGGCCAGGACAACAAUAUAUUUACAUGGGAGGAAAUCAAAAUAUUGAUGUUUUUGGGGUUGGAAAUUUUGAGCUAAAACUGAAGAGUCGGAGCACCUUGAUCCUAAAGCAAGCACUUUAUGCUCCUGAUAUGAGGAAGUGCUUAGUUUUGGUUCCUAAGAUGUUUAUGGCUGGAUUCAUAACCAGUUUUAUUGGGGAGAAAGUGGUGGUCAAAAAGGGGAAAGAUGUGAUCAUGACUGGACGACUUGUAGAUGGCUAUUUACUAUUGAAAUUAAAGAGAAUAUUGCUUAUAUCUCGUCCCCUAAUGAAUUGGAUGCUACUCUAUGACAUAUGAGGUUAGGACACAUUAAUAUCAAAUACAUGGAAAGAACUUAGGAGAAACUAAGGGUUGGAAAAUUAGAGGGAGCCUAAGUUAAUUUUGGGGAUUAAGGUUUAGUAGAGAUUUUUAGGGUAGUUACCUAGUUUGGCCAAAAUCAGCUAUCCCGAUUCAAGAUUGAAGCUAGACCACAGAUCCAGUGCCAUUGGAUGUGGUGACUCGGUGUAGGGUGUAAAAAGCCCUGUUGAGGUAAUCUUCGACAUUUUUUCUUUUAGUUGCUUGAUUUUUUAUUUUAUAUUCUCAAGCACAGUAUUAGGUUGUAUGAAUGGCAUCAAGUAGUUGAGGUUUAUUUUAUUGAUGUGCUAUUUAUUUUUGGAAUAUCUCUUGUUCGUAAUAAGACCAUCUGUAUGUGAUCUUAUUGCUAAAAAUAUAAAAGGUGAUUGUUAUUAUAAAAAAAAAAAAGGAAAAGAAAGAAAGAAAAAAAUUGUAUUUCAUGGCAAAAGAUCACAUAAGUCUUUCUUUCACCUACUUGUUCCCAAUGUUUUACAAGAAUUGAGUUGGCCCCACCCAAUUCUUGAUUUGGAUCGAGCCAGUUCUGAUCUGAAUCACCAUUUUUUCAAAUCCUGCACCAAAGUUUGGGAGGGAAGAUCUCAUCUAUUUGUGAAAGUAGGAGACGCCUUGUAUGAGAAGGUUCAAGGAUCUGGUGCACACGGCUCAUCAGUGUUUGAAAAGGCGCCUUCCAUUUAUGGAUGGCAUGGUUAACUGAUCCAAAUGUGCAGAACAAGUAGGGGUGGCAAUGGACCCGACCAAACUUGGGACCCGACGGGUAGACGUGACCUCGGGUUUGGAUAAAUUGGACUCGACGAGUCGGGAUGGGUCGGGCCUGGGUAAAAAACCUAGACCCAAACACUAUUCAGGUUCGGGUCUAGCUGGACCUGACCCUUACCCAUAAACCGUUGGAGAUUAAGUACUUUACUUUAAUCCCUAUUCAUUUAGUUGUACUAAGGAUUGAUUCUUGCCAAUUUUGACUGAAUUGGACAGUUUUGUAAGAUAAUCGGGUAAAAUGAGCCAAGUCUAUAAUCGGGUCAAACAAGCCAGGUCCUAGAGGAACCCGCUUGUUCCCAAUGUUUUACGAGAAGUGAGUUGGCCCCACCCAAUUCUUGAUUUGGAUCCAGCCAGUUCCGAUCUGAAUCACCAGUUUUUCAAACCUUGCACCAAAGUUUGGGAGGGAAGAUAUCAUCUAUUUGUGAAAGUGGGAGAGGCCUUGUAUGAGAAGGUUCAAGGAUUUGGAGCACACGGCUUGUGAGUAUUUGAAAAGGCGCCUUCCCUUGAUGGAUAGCAUGGUUAACUCAUCCAAAUGUGCAUAACAAGUAGGGUGGCAAUGGACCCGACCAAAAUUGGGACUCGACGGGUAGAUGUGACCUUGGGUCUAGAUAAAUUGGACUCGAUCGGUCAGGACGGGUCUAGCUCGGGUAAAAAACCUAGACCCAAGGACUAUUCAGGUUCGGGUCUAGCCGGACCUGACCCAUACCCAUAAACCGUUGGAGAAUAAGUACUUUACUUUAAUCCCUAUUCGUUUAGUUGUACAAAGGAUUGUAUACAAUAAGAACUUAUAGUAAUAUUUAGCUAUUAAAUGACAAAUCAAACGGCUUGAAAUCUAAUGGCGGUUGAUUGUGCUCUUGUUGCCAGUACUAUGGAUAUAUGAUAGUAAGAAAAAAGGCAAAAAAACAAAAUGAGAAGCUCAUAGUCGCCAGACUCGGGACUUGACGCGUAGAAUUGGAACUUGAUGGGUACGGGUAUGGGUCCAAUUUUUGGAUCCGACAGGUUGGGUUUGAGUUCAAAACCCGGACUUGAGUACUAUUCGGGUUCGGGUCCGGGUUCAGGUCCAGCCUGAACAUUUAAAAGAUUUUCUUUCGGAACACUCUUUUCUACUGAUUUUUUUUAGGCACCAUAAGGUCGCAACCUUAUAUAAACUUAUGGAAAAUUACAAAAAACCCCCAAGACCACACUUUCUAUGCAACUUACCCCCAACCUAACUUUUUCUCUCACUUUUUCCCCAAAACAAACUAUUCAUGCAAAUACACUCCCAAGGGAAAAAUUUCAUUUUUUUUAAACAGAAAUUCCAUUCCCGUACACAAAAAUCUUUGGCCAAAUUUGACAUUGAAUUUUGAACCCCAGUAGCACAUUGUCAGAGCUCAUCAUCGCAUUGCUGGACCCAUUAUUCCAGAAGCUUAAGUAUUGGAUCACCCUAAGACACCUACCAGAUCGAAACUGAGUACUACCAGACCACCCUUUACAUAGUACUAGAGCAUUGGAAUCCAGUAACAUCUACUACCAGACUGCCCUUUGCAACUGCCAGAUCGGUAUAACUCCAAAUUUUUACUAUCGGACCGUACUUACAAAGUGCUAGAGCCCUGUAACUGUAGAAGUAUCUACUGUUGAACUACCCUUUGCAACUGCCGGAUCCUUGUGACUCUAGAAGUUUUACUGUCAGACAGCAUUUACAUAGUGCCGGAGUCUUGUGACUCCAGAAGUAUCUACUGCCGGACCGCAAUUAUAUAGUGUCGAAGCCCUAUGACUCCAGAGUGCUCUACUGCCAGACCACACUGACAGUGCUGGAGCCCUGUAGCUCCAAAGUGUUCUACAUUCGGACCGUACUUACACAGUGCCAGAGCCCUGUGACUCUCGAGUGUUCUACUGCUAGACGACACUUACAUAGUGCUGGAGCCAUUUAAUUACAGUAACAUGUACUACUGGAGUGCAAGUGUGAUGUGCCAGACGACCUUGUUUAUUUGAUGGACCCCUUUUAUUUUCUAGAAACUCUUUCUGCUGUAUCGCCCUCAUGGACUGCGGGACCCUUUUCUCUCUCUCUGUCCCUCCACCUUUUUUUUUUCUUGUUGCUUUUCAGUGGUGUUACAAGUUAAGUAAUAAUAAGGAGAACUAGAGUUACGUGUUGGCUUUAGGUGGUGGUGACACUGUUUUUAAGUGGUGGAUGAAUUUGAUGUCUAAAUCCGUUUUGUAAUCACUAAUAAUUUGCAAUAGAGUUGCAGUUUAGGGAGAGACCAAAUAUCAUCAUCAUUGAGAGAAACAAAGAACAUACAUAACCAAAUAUUUUUGAACCAUUUCUUUUUUUAAAAAUACAUAUCAAACUAAAAAAUACUUAUCAAGUUAAACAUCAAAAUGCCUACCCACCAUAUCCUAUAUUUAACAUCUGUUUCAAACAUUCAUAUGAAAUAAAAAAAUACAUAUCAAAUUCAACAUCAAAAUAUAUAUCAACCAUAUCAUUUACUUAACAUAUGUUUCAAACAUACCAAUCAAAUCCAAAAUACAUAUGAAACGUCACAUCAAAAUCAAUAUCAAACAUAUUCUUUACUUAACAUUUGUUUCAAACAUACAUAUCAUACUUAAAAAAUAAAGGUAAAUUUCUCCGCCUCAACCCUUUUUUUGGCCAACAAAAAUGCCCUUUCUCCUCACAUCGGGUUCCUCCAUAGUCCUUCCCUCUUGUGCAUUCCCAUCUCUUUGCGAUCACAAAUUCCACCUCGAUUCCUCUUGUAACCCCGGUGCUUGAAACUGAUCAAUUUUUUUCUUUGUUCUCCUCUCUUUCCUCCUCGCUCUCACCAUCAUCGUGGCCUUCAACAUCCUCUUCUCCAUCAUCAUCAUCCUCUUCGCUUUCUCUAUCAUCGUCCUCCUCACUUUUACUUUCCACUUCUUUACCCCUAGUUCGUGUUGUCUCCUCAGCCCUUGUUUCUACUGGAGUGUUGUUCAAUAGCAGAUUAUGAGCUGCCUGUACAAAACGCUUGGGUUCAUUGACUAAUAUUUCACCAUUAAGUCAAGCAUGUAGCAUCUCUAUACAGGUAUGUUACUGCAAGUAGACAAUAAAAAGAUAGAAUAGACUAUUAAUUUUAUUUUUCAAAAGUUUAAUACAUAUUAAGACAAUAAAAUAGCAAAAUACAUAAAAUAAAUAGUAUACCCUAUUGUCAUCAUGGCUUGUGAAGGAUUGUACAUGUGAUUGAGAUUGCAAUGGGGGGAAUAUGGUUUUUUUUUUAAAAAAAAUCUCUGCAUAAACAUGUUGUACCAGACCAUAUACUCUUUUGUAUGCACUCCACCAAAAUUAUCCUGGGCUGCCUUAAUAACAUUACGUUCUCGUUGCUGCCAAUCUUUUACCUGCAUGCACAACUAUUCAGCUCAAUUUAUGAGUUGUCUAUCGACCUUUUCCCUCCUAUCUCACUUGGGAGGCGUAACAGGAAUCACUUGCACGUUCCCAAAUUGGGAGGUGUAACAGGAAUCCACUUGAUACAAUGACCCUAAUGGAAAGGGAUUGCUUUAUGAUCUUUCUCAGUUCAUCUUGAGCGUACAAGGUAAGUGUUGUAGUCCAGGUUUCAGUUUGCAAGCUACGGGUGACCAUUAGUUUCAUAAUUUGUCUCCUAAUCAAGUCAACGCACUGGAGAAUUAACAUGUCUCGUGCUUCUAGAAUCCACUUGUUAUAUGACUUAACCACAUUGGUUGUUACUUGGUUAUAUAAUUUAUCCCUGAAAGUGUGGCCCAACGGGUCAACGGUCUAGCGAUGCUUCCAUGAACCACUUGAAUACGUCCUUAGAAAUUGAUCUAAUUUCACUCAUCUUCUCAAAAUACUCUUGUGACCUGUAUGCUCUACAUGCUCCGAUAAAAUAUUUUACAACUGCCUUCUUAAUAUCAUUAGGUAUGUCUUCUACUUCAUUCUUGAAAUUUUCUGCUAAAUGACGCUCACAGAAGGCCUAAUGGCAUUCUCAAAAACAUGAUAGACAAUAUCAACUAUAUCAGGGUGUUUAUAAGACAAAAACAAUGAUUUCACGAUAUGUGCCAAUAACAAUACUUAGAGAUUUAAUGAACCAUAAUCGAUAUCCACAAUAGCGAAUGCAAUGAGAAACAUUUGUUCUUCCCCAUCAAGUGAGUUGGCAGCAAGUAGAGUUCCAAGGUAUCGUGCUUUCAAUGGUGUCCCAUCGAGAAAUAUAAGUGGACGAAAUCCCCUUUUGAAACCAUGUAUUAAGCCAUAAAAGCUUAAGAACAAUCGACAAAAUCUGCCAUCUUGUCAUACUUGUCUUGUCACGUAACUGCUAGGAUUCGUCUCCAUCACGCGUUUACAUAUGCGGGUAACUAAUUGUAUGCCUCCUCUUACAAACCAUGUAUGUCUUUGAUGGCUAUAUCUUUCUCUCGCCAAGUCUAGCAAUAGGGUAGCUCUAACCCAUAAUCUCGAGAGAAAUCAUUCAUGAUAUCUUUGGCCUUAUAAUGUGCAUUGUCACUUACUUUAUCAUUGAUUAAUGGUGCAACACAUCUUUUGGAGGCUUUUUUCUGUAUAUCAUUGUUUGUCUCAAUAUUACAUGAGUGUUCUCUUUUCCAUGUUUUGAUGCUAAAACAUUCGUUCUGCUAAACUUUGAAGCAUAUAUCUCUCAUUUGUAUCCAUCACCCUUGCAUGUCGCCCUUAUGCGAUACCCCUCAUUUUUAACAAUACGGUAUGUGAAAUGGUGUGUUAUAGCAAACUUGCUAAGGGCUUCUCGGAAGUCAUCUAGAGAUUCAAACUGUUGCCCUAUACUGGUUAGUGCAUCCUCCCAUGAUCUAAGCAACCUUGGUGAAUUGCUUUGUUAGAAACAAAAUACAAAAGCAUUAGAGGAUUGGGGGGUCUGACCUCUUCGAUUACCCUACUAUUACGUGUUGUACAUCCACCCCUAUGUUCACUCUAUUUAAAUACAUAGAUAAACACAUUAUUCUCGCCUUCAUGUGCGUUCAACAUCCUCUCAAUAUCAUCAUCAAUGAAGAGGUUCAGAAUAAACCUUUUAUUUCUCAGGAUAAAAUACCUCAAUGAUAUCAAGUGCACGUCAAGUGAGAAAUGGCCUGCUAUGUACUUUUGUAUGUCAUACCUAGUUCUACUGUCAAUCAUAAAUGUACAUGCAUCACCACCAAUAUAUUCUAAAGUCCCAACGACACUUGAUCAGAGCUCUCCACCAAAAAUAUAAUAAAUCAAUCUGCUAUCAUCUAUUUUUUUAUCCUACACAAGAUUUGUAAUAAUUUACACUCCACACAUUGCAUUACAACAUCUUAAUAUUGCCUUUAAACUUGCUCAAAUUUGGUAAGUUCAAGCUAGAUUUUUUAAAAAGAGCUACAAUUAAAUUUUAACAAAAGGUAGGCAUACUGCAAUCUUAACGAUUUUACCCUGUUAAUAUCUCAAUUUUUUAGUUAAUGAGUGAAAAUAUUCUUGAAAUAAAGAGCCUCAAAAGAUGUGACCCAACUUUUAAGAUGAACAUGCAAUUCAAUGUUUUUACANNNNNNNNNNNNNNNNNNNNNNNNNNNNNNNNNNNNNNNNNNNNNNNNNNNNNNNNNNNNNNNNNNNNNNNNNNNNNNNNNNNNNNNNNNNNNNNNNNNNNNNNNNNNNNNNNNNNNNNNNNNNNNNNNNNNNNNNNNNNNNNNNNNNNNNNNNNNNNNNNNNNNNNNNNNNNNNNNGUGACAAACUAAUUUUAACAAUAGAAAUAUAAUGGAUCAUCAAAUAGGAAACAAUUGAUGCAAAGAAAACCAACAGAAAACAAAUAUAGAUAAACAAACCCAAAAUUUACUACCACCAAGAGUAUUCAAGCCCUAAGAUCACAAUACAGAAAAAUAACAAACUCCAUAACAAAUAAAUAAGAAAAACAUUCAAUAAUUUUUAAGCCAUGAGCAAUCAAUUUAAGAUCAAACGACCGAAUGAUUUUCAAUCUUCCUAGAUAGUCACAGAAAGAACCAAUUGAUGCAAAGAAAACCAACAGAAAACAAAUACAACAAAACAAACCCAAAAUGUCCUACCACCAAGAACAUUCUAGCCCUAAAAUGACAAUAGAAAAAAUAAAAAGCCAAAUUCCAUAACAAAUUAAUAAGAAAUUCUUCUAUAAAUCUUAAGUCAUGAGCAAUCCAUUAGUUCAUUGUCAAACACAAUACAUUUCGACAAAUAAGAACCCAACAACAUAUUUGGGGCCGAGAGAUUAAUCUAAAAAUCAGCUAUAUAUUUUUUUGUAAGAAAUAAGUAAAUAACUCUUUCGUAUCUUUGAUGGGGCUGAUUUGGGGCCGAGAGAUCGAGCUAAAAAUCGAGCUUAGGCUUUGGGGACUUGGGUUGAGGUGAAGAAACUGAUAGUUGUUUCAUAAAGAGAGGGCCCUGGAUUCAAGGAGACAAUAGAGAGAGAGAGGAAGAGAGAGAGAGAGGGUGGGACUCGGGCCUUCAGUCCUUCGAAGAGGGAGAGGAAGAUAGCUCGGCCCGAGAAAGCGCGCGAAAGAGGGAGGGACCUCGGGCUUGGAGAGAAAACGAGAAAGAGGGAGACAAUGUGAGUGAGUUUUGUGGACCGUGGGUCCUCUUUGCAGUAAAAAAUUAGAUCUUUCAGGGAAAUGGGAGAGAGAGGCGUGGGUAAAGUAAGGGAGGGUAGUUGGGGGGGGUGGGUGGGUUAGGAUAUUUACUAAGAAACUAUGUUAUGUGAGAGAAAAGUGAGGUUGGGGGUAAGUUGCAUAGAAAGAGUGGCCCUGUUUUGUUUUUUUUUUGUUUUAGUUUCCUAAAAUCUUUCCUUUACACAUGCAACCACGGACAUGGUGUGACUCUAAUUGAAAGUUUCCAUAUUUCCACAAUGGAAAAGAUGUGAGUUUAGAAGACAACAUGAUGAAAAUAGGAGAUCAGAUUAUAUGAAAACUGAAAGAACGACCUAUGUGAUCUUUUAUUGGGGAUUUUUUUUAUUUUUUAUUUUUUUAUAUCACCCCUUUUCUUUUGGUAAAAGAUCACUUACAGUUGGUCUUAUUACAACAACAUAUACUUCAAAAUAAAAUCAACAUGGUAAUAAAACCAAUAGCUUAAAACUUGAUGCCAUUGAAAUAACUAUGCACUAUGCUUGAGAAUAAAAAAUAAGAUUGCAAAAAAUAAAAGAAAAGAGUGUCGGAGAUUACCUUAAUUGGGCUUAUUACACCUCACACCGAGUCACCACCAUUCGAUGACGUGGGAUCGACGAUCUUGCUUCAAUCUCAAACCGGAAAAGCAAGUUUAGGCCAAUCCACACCAAUAAAGCAUGAACUCUUUUGAUCACCAACUCAAACCCUAGGUGAAUUCCUUUAGCAACUUAGUUUGAGAGAGAUGGAUUUUUUUUUAUAAACCCUAAAACCCUUAGCCAUAAAUCUAUAGUUGAGAGAUAAGAGAGUGAAAAAUUCUAUAACCUAAACCCUUAGGUUCUUUCACAAUGAGGGAGAGAGAGAAAUUUUUUUUAAGAGAGAGAGAGAGAGAAAUUCUAAGUGGGAUAUAAGAGAGAAAUAUGGAAUUAGGUACAAGAGAUAAGGUGUAGAGAUUUUGGAUAGAGACAAUCCCUUUUUUAUAAGCUUUGAACAAGAUUCAGAUUUCUUAGGGUUUUCCUUGGCUUGCCUCUUCUUGUGAGAUUGAACAUUGACUGUCGAUUAAGUGUGACUUGUGGGGUGAGAGAACUGAGCCAUCCAUUUCAUAGAUGGGCCAUCAAGAUUAUGGAAGGUGCAUGAACCCUUAUCCCCCUCUCUUAAAUCAUUUUCCCAUCAAUAGAAAAAUAAGUUAAAUUAAUUUUAAUUAAAUAUUGUGCAUUCUAUAAAUUAGCACAUCUCUAUACAUAUUUUCCAUAAAAUCUAUCAAAGAUAUACCAAGUCAAUAUCUACUUUCAUAUUAAGUCAAUAUAUGGUCAAUACAUAAUCGAUCCAUAAUUUGACCACAUGUCACAAUUUAAAGUUACUAAAACAUAAGUUCACAUGGACCACCAAACUUUCCAUAAAAUAGAAAGUAGUAUGAGGUGCGGCAUGCCACCCAUGGGAGGCACAUGUGGGCCCCACCUUCUAGAAACAUGGUGGGUUCAUGUGCACAAUGGGCCACCAUGAUUAUUUUUUUAUACAUUUAAAAUUAACAAAAUAAUUUCUAGUGAAUAUUAAAACAUUGUAAAAUCAAUCUCUUUAAUUUCAUAAAUCCAAAAAUUAUAAAUAAAAUAUCCAAAGGUCCAUAAAAAUUUAAAUAAUAAUUCUAAACUAAUCAUUAUCAUAAAACAAACACAUUUAAAUUAAUUUGAUGGGAAAUAGAUCCAUAUGGUUUAGGAAUUGAAUCAACAAUUAUGGGGCACUCUACCUUCAACUGUAGACUACAGACCACACUUGCUUUAUCAGACCGACCUAAUGUUUUUCAUGACCCACAGUCUAAGCAAAUGCUCAUUAGUGAGUCAUCAAAGUCUGGCCGAUGAGCCAAGGAGUCGCAAUCCCAGUCUGUGGAUUAUAGAUCCUUCCCUAAAGAUGAGUCCAGGUCACCACGACCUGGUGCGAUCACAACUCUAUGGCGCAUAGAGGGAUCUCUCGCACAUACAUACGCUUAACCCUAAAAGGUGGAUUUCUAGCUUUCUCAAACGAUUUAUUGAUAUGCAUGCCAUGUAAUAGUAUAUGAAUGAGGUUUUGGCCCCCGUCUCUAUAGGCCACUAUCACACACAAUGGUCACACAGUCCCUCGACUCACUUAUCUGGGCAUGUUCUCCGACCUCAUCAAGGGCUAACCCAUGAACCCUCCUCAGUUUGUUCUUCAUGUCUAGGUAACAUGCUUUUUUCCCAAUCGACUGACCUAGAUUGUCAAAUACAAUCCGGUGUCUGCAAACAUCAUUUACAUAAUAUGGUCCACGAGAGACCACACUUCCACUGAGUUUAUGUUCUAAUAUGUCAUUUCAUUUUACAAGUACUCGCAAGGCCUUUAAAGGCCACAUAAACCCAACAUGGUCCUUAGGUUCAGGUCUAUCCAUCGAAGUGGUGAUGACAAGGGAGACAAACAUAGGAGCUUCCUCUAUCUAUCCAUCGGCGUGCAUUAUCUCAACUUGAUGGUGAUAACAAUAUGGACUAUUGUUUCUUUGUAGCCCAUAAUAUUACAGUAUCGAGACGGAAAACAUAAGGAUUUUUCAUCGUUGUUGGCCGUUGGAUCAAUGUUAGAGCCAAUCAACACCCUCCAACAAGGGGAAUCAUGUUAGAUGGCUGCUCAUUGGACAUGAGUAUUCCCAUGUUCAUUGAUCCAAUGGUCCACAAUGUUGCAGUGGAAGGGAGGUUUAAUGUAAGCUUCCUCUUAUUAAAUGGAUCGGGUUUUGGUGUGUCAGCCAACAAACCUAUUCAAAAACGUUGUCCUUCAAAUAUCCAGGUAAAGGGUGAAUUCUAAACUCGAAAUUUUACAGGUCGAUAAUUUAGAUGACCAUGAUCAUGAUAUGGAAAAAAUUGAAUUUUGAACAUUAAAAAAUGACUAUCUAAGAUAUCGUUCUUGGAUGGUUGGUCAGCAUUCAUUUCUAUUAUUCACAAAUCAUUAUGUGCAAUAUUUUUUGGAGCUGCAAACUCGUAAAUCUGAAGCGAAUAUAUGUCUAGAAAGUUAUACGUGUUUUAGAUCCUAAAUCCAUUUCUAAAAUACAUUCUAUAAAAGGAAGUGUAUUUAAUUAUCUCAUUAAACAAAGGGAAAAAGACAUCCCACAUUCAUAUACAAUUUUGACAAGAGCAAAUAAAUGUAAUAUUUUGGAAAAGAGCUUGAGCUUAGUUGGUUAUCACUUGACGAUUUGCAACGCUACGUCCUAGACUCAAUUCUUACCAAGGGUGGGGGUCCUCUCCCCAUUGCCUCAUCCAAACAAAAAAAAUAGAUGUAAUAUUUGUAUGGGAUUGUACAAGACAAUUAUUUUUGUUAUAAGCAUGUCACAGUCAUUGCUAACUAUUAAAUGUCAAAUUGGAGAGCUUGAGGUGUAACAUAAAGUUUGAGAAUUUUUUUUUGAGCCUUGAGUUUUGUCAAUGACACACUUACAAUCACCCACUUAAAAAUCCGAUGGACAAGAGCGAUUGUGACGUCCUUGUAUAAAAAACAAAUGGUCUCUAUAUACUUUUGCUAUUUGUAAUGCUACAAUUUGUUUUUUUAGUGUAGUGUUUUGGAGUAGAUUACUGUUAUUGUAGAAUCCUCUCUUUUUUUCCUUUUUAUAUUUAUUUUUCUUUUUGCAGUAAUCUAUUGAUAGUAAGUUGUACAAGAAGUGAUAUAUACACAAUUGAAGUAAGAGAAACACAAUGCUAAAGGUAGUAGAAAACUAUAUUAAUGGACUGGGAUGCGUAGCAAAUAUAGAAACGCUUUCCUUUAACCCCAAAUGAUAUUCUGCUCCUUAGGGAGUAUACAUUUUCAUUUACUGCCUCGGGUAAAACCGCACCUAGGAUUAGUUUUAGGACCCAUAUUUUGGAAUAUAACCUUGUACAGAUUAUCCUCAAUACCUUUUUUUUCUAAUUGCACCCUCUAAGCACUUCAAAAAAAUAUGAUGCCUCAAGAUUGAAUAGAAACUAACCAAUUUUAUAAGAUGAGAUCUAAGUGGCAGAAAAAUCAAAUUUCAAAUUUUUAUUUUUUGAGAAUGAUCAUCUAGUGAUUCUAAGGUUGUUACUAAAAUUUCAAAUUCAAAAAAAUCCUCCCAAGUAGAUCAUCUGGACGAGGUGGUAGAAGUAAACUAUGCUCUCGAUAGAGCGUAGUAUACAUGCUCUUCUUUUAAUUUUGAAGCCCAAAUAUAGGAAAUUACUAUAUUUUGGUUAUCUAACUUUCAAAAAGUCACAAUAUCUGAUUAUCAUACUCCUCCAUAGCAUGAUAUAAGAUGCUUCUGUAGGAGCAUACUGUAAGACAACGCCCCUCAGUAAAAGUAUAAAUUGGGUGGAUUUAUUUGAUCCAAAAUUUUGGCUCCAAGUAUCAUGAGAUGAUUAUUUUAGUUGAAAAAAAUUGGAUUUUAAGUUCUUUAAUACCUAAAUCUUGCCCUCCAAAAAUUGGACGGCUCGUGUUUAAUCUUGCAAUGUUAAUUUUUUGAGGCACAUAGAUCUACAAUGUUUUUUCUUUUUCCCUUUAAAUUGGUUGCUAGUUCUAGAGACUCUAUACCCAAAAAGUUUAGGGGUCCAAAAACUAUUCUUGAGUUUUUCCAUAGGGAGCAAAUAGAAAGUAGGUCCAAAAACAUGUCAUAGUUGGUAGUCAUGAUGCUAUUCAAUUUGCCGAUGGGUACAGGCAGGUUAGUGCCAAUUUUAAGGUCAAGGUCCUUAUUGGAGACGGCACUUACAAUAUGCUCCUUUGGGAGUAUAGUUUAUUUCUACUCCUUCCAUUGGAAUACCGAUUUGGGAGAAGUUUUUCAAUAUUAAAUUUUGAGAACCACUUAAGAAUCACUUAUUAGAUUAUCUUCAUAAACAAAAAUUUAAAAAUUUGAAUUUUCUAACAUUUAGAUCUCACUAUCUAAAAAUUAGAUGGCCUCAAUUCAAUUGCUAGACAUUCUUUUUUCAAGCGCAUAGAGGGGUAAAAUUUGAAAAACAAAAAAGGUUAACCUAAGGCUUAAGAGAUUAUAUCUCCAAAAUUUGCCGUCCUGAAAUUAAAUCUAAAAGUCCUAGAGCUGCUUAAGAGGCGUAUACCCGAGGGAGUAAACAUAUAUUCUACUCCCGCAGGAAGAAGAUAUCUUUAGGCUAGUAGAGUCAAAAGCACUCAUGUCUAGAAUCCAUUAAAUGGAUAUUUGAUAAGUCUGCAUCUGAUGGAGGCCCACAAAGAGGACUUGGACUUGGACUUGGUCCAUAGUCGAGACUUGAGACAAUAGAAGGCUGGCAGGGAAAGAGUUUUGGAAUACAAGGAGAGAGAGAGAGAGAUUAACCUUUUGGUCCAUAACAACCCAUAGAGAGAGAGAGGUUAACUUUUGGUCCUUAACAACCCACUAUGAAAUUCAUUAAGCACACCAGUCAUAAAACAAUGUCAAAACUCAACUACAGCAUGAAUUUCACAUCACAAUGCCCAAAAUGCCUUUCUUUUAUCGUUCACCAAUCCCUCACCAAAUAUACGAGUACCUAAUCCCAUCCUCAUACCAUGUUUAUAGACCAAAAACAUUACUUUUUAAAAGUAACAUUUUUCUAUGUUUACAAUUAAUCCAUUGAGAACUUGGCGGCUUCAACCAUAACAGUAAGGGAGUCUUCAAGUCGUUGUUCCACUCAAGUAAGCGCCGCCAGUCCCAAGUCAAUUUUCACUAUAAUCAUGACCUACCCCAAUCAACAAGGCUCUUUCGAGCAGUGUACAGAAAAUAGACUCGUAAUUCGAAACCCCAAAAAAAGUGAGAAAAAGCUUUAAAAGGGGGCAAUCUCUAAAAAAAACUUAAAAAAAAAAGAAAAGUCGAAAGGAUUGACAGAAUCAUUAGGAGAUAAAAUUAGAUGAAGAAAGGGGAUGCAAAAGUGGAUUUCUACCUUGAAUACCUCAAGAAAAUUUAGAAAAAAAAGAGAAAAAUAGGAAAAUACCCAAAUGAUAUUAAAAACUAACAAAAAAACAGACAGACAUGGACAAAUUCCGGAUUCCACAUAUGCUGCCAUGAUGACUUUGACAAAGGUUAAUGCUCUCACAAACUCAGUAACAAAGACGGGAAAAAUGCAUGCCUAACCCGGCAAAGUAACCGUGUGGUAAAACUUAGUGCUCUACACGUUACUUCUCCUUGCAUCUAUAAAUUCAGGCUCCUUCCUGUACACAGAGAAGCUAAAGUGAGUAACCAUUUCGCAGGCCAUGGAAAUGGAAAUGGAAAUGGUGAUGAGAUUUCCAAUUUUCAUCCUCUUCUUCCAAACAAUUGUUUUGGUUCCUCUAAUCCAAUCAUCUGAUGGUUUAUCAGGAGUAGAACUAGAAACCCAAGCACUCUUGAAUUGGAGAACCAGUCUGAAAAAUCAGACCUUGGAUUCAUGGGUUUUCACGACCAACAAUAAGACCAGCCAUUGUGGCUGGUUUGGCAUUCAGUGCAGCAAUGGGGGAAGUGUAAUUGAGAUAAGCCUCUCGAAUUCAAAUCUCGAAGGUACUCUUGGCCGAUUAAACUUCUCCUUGUUACCCCAUUUAGUCCACCUCGAUCUCAGCUGGAACUCUCUUGAAGGAACGAUUCCGCCAGAUAUUGGUAGUCUUUUGAACCUCACUUUCUUGGAUUUGUCUCAUAAUGAAUUAUCUGGUUCAAUCCCGAAUACGUUCUUUUCUGGUCUCAGAAAACUGCAAAUCCUAAACCUCACCAGAAAUCAUAUUGGAGGCCAAAUCCCAACCAGUCUAGUGAACCUUACUAAGCUUCAUGAUCUUCGGCUCGGUUACAACUCCUUCACCGGUCCCAUUCCUGAACAGCUCGGUUUUGUUUUCUCUCUCCAAAUACUCGAACUCUAUGAAAACCCACUUUUAGUAGGGCCCAUCCCUGGUUCUCUAGGCCAGCUCCAAAAGCUUCAGAGGCUGGAUAUUAGUAGUUGCAAUUUGAGUUCAAACAUCCCACCACAAAUAGGAGACAUGAAAGAGUUGAUCGAAAUCUCUCUUUCUAUGAACCUUCUAUAUGGCCCCAUUCCUCCUUCCAUCGGUAACCUAACCAAGCUCACCACCUUGGAUCUCUCCUAUAACCAGCUCUCAGGAGCUCUUCCUUCGGAGAUUGGAAACUUGGGAUUGUUAACAUCUCUUGAUGUGUCGAAUAACACCCUCGGAGGCUCAUUGCCGAGAACAUUAUCCCACCUCUGGAAGCUGGAAAUGUUCUUUAUCGAAAGCAAUGUGUUCUCUGGCACCAUUCCAGUAGAUAUUUUUGAGCACGUUCAAUUGUUGGGGGCCGACUUGUCUUUUAAUAGCUUCUCAGGUACACUACCUUUGGGAAUAUGUAGAGGGAAUAAGCUCAUAAAUUUCUCGGCCAGCCACAACAAUUUCUCGGGGCCCCUGCCAGAAGAUUUGAAGAACUGCACGAGUGUGGCCUGGUUCGUAGUCGAGAAGAACCAUCUCGAGGGGAAAGUUUUCGAGGCUUUCGGUAGCCAUCCUGAUCUAAUGAUUGUUGACUUGUCUGGGAAUCAAUUUUCUGGUUACAUUCCAGAAAACAUUGAUGAAACAAUGCCGAGUCUAACUUUCCUACAGCUAGGAAAUAACCACAUGGUGGGAACAAUUCCCUCCACUAUUCACAAGAUGAGAGAUUUGGUUGUUCUCGACCUUUCUGGGAACAACUUCACUGGUACCAUCCCGACCUCACUACCCAAUAUGGGAUACUUUAUGAUUUCUAAUAACAACAUCAUGGGAACCAUUCCCAACUCUGUGGGGAAUAUGACCAAUCUGGUUGUCUUCGAUGUUUCGGGAAACAGGUUAAGUGGUGUUAUUCCUUCUGGCUUGGGGAAAUGUCAGUCGCUUGAAGUAUUGGACUUGAGCAACAAUAAUAUGCUCGGAAGCAUUCCAUGGUCGCUUGGGCAUUUAGGGAUCCUUCGGAAACUGCAAUUGAGCAACAAUAGCCUAUCAGGAGAGAUCCCUUCAUCCUUGAGAAACUGUUCUGGUUUAGAGAUUAUUGAUCUUGGUGAAAAUGGAUUCUCAGGUGUUAUUCCUACUUGGAUUGGUGGAACCUUCUCAUUACUACGCAUUCUCCGUUUACGAUCAAACAAGUUUACAGGUACAAUCCCUCAAGAGCUGUCACUCUUGCGUUCUCUUCAAGUCUUGGACCUCGCAGUAAAUAAUUUAUCAGGUGAGAUCCCUCGGACAUUUGACAACUUCACAUCAAUGGCAAUCAGGCUACGAGACGUCCAUAGCAGUUCCAAUGGGGAGAAUAAUGAGGCAAUGAUUCUCAAGAAGUAUUAUGAGGAAACGGUUGUCAUUGCCACAAAGGGGCAAGCCCUUCCAUAUAGCAGGACUCUUUCCCUGGUUACAUGCAUGGACAUUUCGAGUAAUAAUAUUGUCGGGAUUAUCUCGGAAGAGUUAACCCGCUUGGUAGGCUUGCUUGUGCUAAACCUGUCCAGAAAUCACCUAACUGGGAAUAUUCCCAAAAAGAUCAGUGCACUGAAGGAGCUGGAGUCGCUAGACCUUUCGAACAAUCUACUUUCGGGUGGCAUCCCACAAGGAAUCUCGUCCCUGACAUUCUUAAGCUAUUUAAACUUCUCAAAUAACAACUUAUCCGGACCCAUUCCCUCCAGCAAUCAAAUGGAAACUUUUCAUGAAUCGACAUAUUCUGGGAACCGAUACCUUUGUGGCUUUCCGCUUCUUAAAAAGUGUGGAGUACCUACCCAGGUGUUGACUCCCAUCCAUAAUGAAGAUGAUGAUGAUGAUGUAUUUGGGAUUGAUGUGAGUGCAGGUAUGGGUUUCGGCGUAGGAUUUGGUGGUUUUUUCUUUGUUCUAGCUGUCAUAAGGCCCUGGAGCCAUGCAUAUUUCAAGUUCAUGGAUCGUAUUGUGAAGAAACUGCUACGGGCAUCGUAGUGUUGUACUUCUACUGCUCACACACACACAUACUCAUGUGGUGAUCAGAUCACAUGGCCUUGCACUUGCUUUGAUACUUCGAUUAGCAAUGCAGAAACUUCUUUUGAGUCUCAAUUGAAUUGCUUCAACGCCAAGAUACAAAUCCCCAUAAUUAUUUCUGAAAUGUUUGGGUAACCUUGUGUGUUUAAGAUAAUGGUUGGCAUUUGAACUGAAUUAUCAGUUGCAAUCAUCAUGCCGGGCUUGCAGGCUUAUAGAACAAGGAACUCUCCAUAACAAACCAGAGGCUAUUAACACUUCUUUCAUGCCACGAUUCUUCUUGCAGUCUGUAAAAGAUAUUUGUUUUGAAGCAUUAGUCUAUAUAUGAAUUAUAAAUUGCAAAAGAUUUUACAUUGAAGUUUAUCGACGCUUCUUAAUCUAUGCCUUAUUGUGUUUGAGAAGCUAAAUAAUACAUAAUAAUAUAGUGUUGUAUUCAACAUAAAGGAACCUAAGGUCUUCUUUAAUAAACCAUAUAUAUGAAAAUAGACGUCUUCAUUAUCAUCUGAGCCUUAUCCCAACUAUUUGGCAUUGGCUAAAAUGGGUCACACAAAUAUAUACCCCUAUUAAAGAUUUCAAAAAGCCAUUUGCCCAUUUAGCCAAUCCCUUGAUAAUUUAUGAUACUUAGAUGAUUGGUUAAAUAAACCUUUACAUGUGGAGCCACUCACAUACAAAAAGCAUGUGACUCCUUUCUCCAACGAUCCGUAUUCAGUAGGCUAGUAUUAGUGAGAAUGGAAACCACAACGUGGAUGACUAAGGUAUGGAGGUGCUACCACCAAUUGAAUAGCUUUUGUCGCGAUGUCAACCAAUUUAUUUGUAAACUUUCCUUUACGAGUUAGGUUUACAUUAAAAUUGGGGCAUGCCUUCACCUUAUUGGGGUGUACUUGGGAAAAAUAAAAGAAUUGUAUUUAUUUUUAUUAAAAUGGCCAAGACUCUUCUGCAAGUUCUACGGGCAAUCUGGUUAUUUUUCCAUCAAGAAUAUCUUUUUUUAUUUUUAUCAGGUGCAUCCUAGGUGAGGUGUGCAUAACCCAAAUUUCACUGCAAAAUAAAUUAUUGAGAAAAAAAUAAAAAUAAAAUUAUUUGAGGCAUCAAAUCAAGAUUAAAUGCUUAGAAACUAACUUUGAACAAUAGGGCUAUAGUUCUCCCAAUAGGGUCACAUAUACUUUAUAUAUAAGUAGAGCCACAUGCAAAGGUUCCCCCCUUUUAAGGGUAACACAAAUGGGAAAUGACAUCAUGUCACCAUUCCAUUAUCCUACAAUGAACCAAACUUAUAGAAAAUCAUGUUUGUGGCAUUUGUAUGACUUAAAAUUUUGUAUACACACUCCCUUCAUCUCAAUAAUCAAUCUCAAAAGAAAAAAAAUAAAAAUAAAUAUUUACACCCUAUAUAUGGUCAAAAUGAAUCUCAUCCAACAAUGAAUCUAGACCGUCCAUUUGGUGAAUUUCAACGUCUUGGCUUUUAUGAAUUCAAACUUAAUUUUUGUUUCCUUUUAAUGUUGUUAAACUAGUGAUAAUACAUUUAUCUAAAAAAUUUGGAAAAAAAGAAAAUCAUUCUAAGGCCUAAAUCUAAGUAUAUCACCAAAACGGACAACUUAUGUUAAUUGGGCUAAAAAACACUUUCUAAAUUGCGUUUUCAAUUGUUUUAUUAUUUAUUUUAUUUAUUUUUGUGAUUGCUCAUUAGAAUGAAAAAAGUGUAUAUUUUAAAAUUUGGAUCAAACAAAUCCCUAUCAUGGUUUUUGCAGAUUGCUUUAUUAUAUUAUUACACAACUGUUGUAUGAAAUCACUCAACAAAAAAAAUGAGACUAAACAUGGAAAUGCAUAAAAGUACCCUGAAGUAAUAUGGUCUUAUUUUAUAUUCCUAAUAAAUAGAUCCAAAAUAUUUAGUCCUAACUUUGAACAAAUAUGAAGUAUAUAUUAAAGAUAUCAGAUAGUAUAUAAUGAGAUCGCUUACUUUUAGUACAAGAGGUCACAAUUACUUACACUCAUCCAAUGUAAGUUUCUUUUGAACUUUGAGUUUGGUCAAUGAAAUAAAUGCAACCACCAAAUUUCACAUCCAACAGUCAAAAUUAAUUGCGACCACCUUGUACCAAUGAUAAAUAGUCUCAUCAUAUACUUUCCCUGAAAAUAUAGUUUCAUUUUUAAAUUAGAUUUCCAAUUACCUAUUUUUAAUUAGAUGGCUAUCUACUACAAGAAGAGAUAAAAUUAAAUUAGAUGAGGUAUGUACACUGUGUAGGGCCCCUCAAUUCAGACUUUUCAUGAAACCUCUCAUCUCACUUCAGGACUACCAAUUUCUUGGAGCCACAUUUGGCAGGAAUGCAAUUCAGAGGCUGAUUCUCUAACAAAGUCAGGCGCUACUGAGUGAAUUUUUUUAAGACAGCCCAUACUCCUUUGGGGGUCCUUGCCCCCUCUUCUACUCAAUGUGCAAUCCAUUUGUCCUUCUAUCCCCACCCAAGGUGGUGGUUUUAUAGCGCUCCCAGCUUGUUGGGCGGCCAUUUUUUACUGUAUAUAGCUUCCAGAUUCUAGGAACCUCAUUUUUUGUACACUUAUCUCAUUUUAAUAGUUCACUUUUUCAAAAAAAUCUUCAAUGUGAUACAUUCAUGUAGGGAAACCAACAGCAAAACAAGUUGAGGCCAGCUCUUCUCUAUUGACAGAUUUUUCAUUUUUGUACAGUCUGUUUCACAUAGAUUCAAUUUUGUGAAUGGAAUAGUUUACGUACUUGUACAUUUUGGGAAAAAAAAAAAAAGUUCACAAACUUUUACAUCCUUUUUUGGACAAUUAAUGGAAGUUAGGGUUAUUCAAAAAAAAAAAAAUCUAUUUAAGUUUGACUAAAUUUUUGAAGUAAUUUUUCAUAUAAUUAACAACCCUCCACCCCUCUCCCCCACGUAUACUUGACUAGAGACAUGAACAAUAAAUUUAUAGCUUACAUCGAGUUGGAAUAAAUAGAACCAAAAAUGGAAAACGGUGAUAAAUUUGUUGCACAAUGAGCUCCAAAUGCCAAUUUUCCAAUCCAUAUUGGUUUUGUUGCAACUGAAGGUUAUGAGACACAAGCCAGACAGUUAUGUAGAAAUAAUGACUACAAGGUUUAGAAAUUUAAAAUAAGAUGAUUAAUCAGGCCAGAAAAUCAGUAUUUUUAUUUUUGUCUUCAGUACCUUCACAAUCAAGAUGAACAGAAGAACAUCUCGAGAUCUGGUGACUUCUGAAACCAGUUUGUGAAACAUGGGCUGUUCUUAAAAAUUCUGACAGCUGCUCUGUAAUCUUUGGCCAUAAUCUGUAGGGAGUAAAUUGACUCAGACAUGCAUGAAAGAUCAAGAUCUCUCUCUCUCUCUCUCUCUCAUGUCCGUACCCACAUAUGUCUGCAUACUUGGUGCAUGAUUGUGACUUGUGAGUGCGCCCACGUUCAAGUACAAAUUUUGUACAUGCAGCUGUGUGCAUGCAUGCACCCACACAUACAUGUCUUUGCUUACACUCACACAUCAGAACAAGAGAACUAUUUGCUGUAAUAUUUCUCUGAUACAUGUGAAAUGGAAGAACGCCAUACUAUUUACAUACUUGAAUAAAUAAGAAAGUAAGCCAAUAAAACUAGCAAUUAACAAAAUAAAACCACAUAUUACCUUGAGCUCAAGAUAAGAAAACAUUUCCACUUUGAAUCCGGUGGAAGAAACAUGUACAAGUGACGCAAAAGCCUCCAAAAGCCGCUUCCAAGAGUAAAAACCACCAAAGAAAUGAGAACAAAGAGCUCAAAUGCUGAACCACCUUAUUGUUCAAUAAACUACCAAUUAUUCUGUUUUUCUUAAAAGUAAAAAGCAUCAUAUUAUUUUUUAUAUUUGGAAUGAAUGACUUACGAUUUGAUAUAUAUAUCUAUAUAUAUAUAUAUAUAUAUAUAUAUUGACUGUUGUAUAUUAAUAGAUAUACAGAGACAGACAGGAAAUAGGUGCCCUAUACAAAAAUCCCUAGGGGUCUAAAAAAUGCUGUAUACCAAAAUCGAGAAAAUUAUGUGGGAUGCAAGCUUAAAAAAUGCCUGCAUCAAAAGGAGAAACAGAAAAAGUAUAAAUUUGACAAACAGCAACAGAUGUGAACUGUCUUCCUACUUGCAUAGAGAAGACUCUGUAGAUGGGGAUAGUGCCCCUUUCGUAGAGGUCCCUCGCUUCCUUCCUGUAGUUCCAAGAAUGACCUCAUGUAAGCCCAAUCUGUUCCAGCAGAUAGAAUAUCUACCACAAGAAAGUUCAAGAAAUCAGAAGUCACGAAUAAUUAAGAUUAACAAAUGAAAUUAUUUGUAAUAAUUGAAAAAAUUUGGAACAUUGAACCCAAUAAAGAAAAAAGAUCCAAUCACUAAGAAAUCACGAAUCAUUAAGAUCAAUAAAUUAAAUUACUUGUCUUUUUGAAUUACUCAUAAAGUACGAGCAAACACAACUCUCAUCCUAUACUUGCUAUUUAUUUAGAACAUUUAUUGGGUAAGUACUAGGUAAUGUAGAUAUUUCGAAUUUCAUCACAUCAUACAACAAAAAUGUUAAAUUUCAAAAAACAUAUCAACAGCAUAUAAUGAAAAGUGUUGAGCAUAAUAUUACUAAGGGACUAUGAAAAACCAUAGUCGAUUAGGGUAAUGGCCAUCUGUUUAUAAACUCUGACGGGGAAAGAGAGUGGGACCCACAUAAUUUUCUGGAGGGUCCAACUUUCUCUCUAUUCUCUCCCUUUGUAUCUAUGAUUUCACUGGACAGUCACUAUCCAAUGGACUAUGGUUUUUCCAUACUCCAUUGGUGAUUGGGCUAUAUUGUGAUUUCCCAUGUGGAUAUGUUCAGGUUUAUCUCACAUCACACAGCAAAGUAUCAAAUGUUUUUCAAAUAUAUCAUAAUAUAUAGGAAAGUUUACCAUACCCGCACGUUAAAAUAGGUAUGCCCAGUGGAACAUUGAACUUGAAGAAAUUCCUUUGGUGGAACCGGAGCUUGAAAAAUCUUUUGCUGCCAAAAGGUAAAUAUUAGCUCAAUUUUAAUUCUCCUCUUUCAUAACUUAGAUAUAGCACACAGACAUUGUUCAGUUUGAAAGGACUCUGCAAUUCCUUUGAUAUUGGAAGAACACGGAGAUAAAGAGAUUCCGCCAAUUGAUUCUCUAGAUUCAAGCAUUCAGCAUUCUCGCAAGCUGGUUGCCCAAUUGUGAUUGAAGACAUAUAUAUCGGUUGCUGGAUAAAAUGAGAGAGUAAAGAUCCUAGCAACCAGUUAGAGGAAGAGAGGAUCAUUAGAAAUAAAACAAUGCCUAUAAUUAUGCAUAUUAAUAUAACAUGCACGCAAACAUAUAUAUGCACACCAGUGUUACAUAGACACGACACGGGUGUCGGUGUCUGGUAAGUGUCAGUGCCAGUGUCAGAGUGUCUAGUACAUCAGGCCAAAUAGCCAGUACUUCCCGACACAUCCGUACAUUCCUAAUUUAUAAACUCUUUUCUUUAUAUAAAUAUAUAUAUAUAAUAGAAAAAUAAAAAAGUUAGCAAAGUUAAAUGGUAUUUUGUUAAACAAAAUAAAAUGUGUAAUACUAGAAUAUCUAAAGAAAAUUUGAAUAAAAUUAUUCUUUUAAAAAAUUUAUCUAUUAACAUGUCAUACAAUGAGUGGUAGGCAGUGCUGCAUAAAAAAACCAUUACAAACUUUGUUGUUAAGGAGAAAGAUUUAUUAAAUAUCAUAUAUGUUAAUUCUUAUAUAUGUACCAUUUAGGAGGCUACUACGCAUGUGGUAAGAGUGAUUAACUUGAAUCAAGCUAUCUGGGGUUCGAGCCACCAGGAAGGUCUUAUGUGGUCUUCACUUCAUUCCUAUUAUCCAUCUGGUGGCAUGACAUCAUUCAGUCAUGCAUGGAUCACAGGUCAUUAUUCAAAGCCAUGUGGGUAACAACUAUGGCUAGUCACGUGGAGGUACCUCACUCAUGUCACAUGAGAGGUAUGGCCUUUUUCCCUUGUGACAAAAUGGGAUAUGCAGUGUCCACUCAGUUGACACUUCUAUCAGAUGUGUCGACACAUACUGUAUGACCAGGAUAUCGUCAGACACGCAUUACCCAUGUGUCCACAGAGCCUCAAGAGAAGAGUCGACGUAACACCGAUGCAUGCAUGCAUGUGCCCAUAACCCAAAUAUAUGAUCCCACAUAAGAUACUUAAUAAGAAAUAACAAUGAAUGAGGGACCUGAUAUGAGGACACUUUGAGGCAUACCUCAAAAUGUGGUUCAUCUAAAUGCGCUUUUUGCUUAAGUUUCUAUCACCAGAUGAAGGGUCAUAGGCGAAGCAAAACCUGUAGGUAUAUCAAAAGGAUAAAUAGAGAAACAUAAUCAAUUAGUGUCAUAUUCGUAAAAUGAAAUGGAUGGUGAUCGGUGAAAAGUGGGACACAGAGAAGCCUGUUCUGGUGCGUCCCACACUCUCCAUCACUGUUAAUCAUUUCAGUGACCAUUGAUGACAAUUGAAUGUAGUUUUCAAUAAUCUAUUUGCUUAUAGUAUACUUUCUUCCUAUAAAAUAGAUAUUAAUACAAGCUGUAAUUUAAUCCAAGUAUAAGUCCAUGAUAGAUGAACAAAAAUAGAAAAGAACAGACCUUGAAGGCCAACAACAUUCGAGUGGGCAAUCUUGUCUGAACAGCUUACAGAAAGAGUUGUUUCACCACGACCAGGUUUUCUUCUAACCAUUCCCAGGCCAUGCAAAUGAACCAACGAAUGGAAAGGAGUGGCAAACACUCCAUCUACGUCAAUUGUCAAAUUAUCUGUUCUAUGUAAGCCACUAUUUUCCAACCGCCUCAACAAAUAAUCAGGAGUCAUAGCAGAAGAAAUUGCACCAUUACGCUCUACAGGCAAAAGUCUGACAACUAUCUCUCCAUCUAUUUUGUCUGCCAUUUCUUUAUCACUUCUAUUAGCAACUCCCCUAUAUGGUGUUUGGAGUCCAGUUUUAGAAAAGUUUUCCCAAAAUUCAGUAGAGCAUUGUCCUGAAGAUUCACAAUUAUUGUCCUAGUAGCUAUGAUUACUGUCAGGGGAUCUACGAAAACCAUGAUUUGGCUGUACUUGCUGAUUUUCAGUACUGUUACUUCGAUCUUUGAAACAAGAGUGUGAAAUCCCUGCUGGUUGGAGCAAAUCCCAUGUUGGCAACAAAGGGGAACGGGAAGCAUCCCCACCUUCAAAAAACCAAAACAAUAAAAUGAGAAAGAAGAGAUACAAGCAACAUGUGAUCAGAUCAAACAAUGAUCAUGACUAAAAUGAAAACUCGUAGCAGAUUCAUGCAGUUAAAGAACUCAAAUAGUCAAACACAAAUAAUAAAGUCAAUGAAGAAUUGAAGAUAAGUUACAAGGCAAUUGGGAGAUAUAUAGAUGUAACCGGUAGCCAGGCUUCAUUUUAUAUUUUGCUUGACCAGACACAUCACCAACUAGUUCUAACAGCAAGUCUAGGUGCUCAUCCAUCCACAAUUGUUCACAUCCAAGAUGUUCGUUUCUCUUCUAGGCUUCAUUAAGGCACACAAUCUCUGCAUAGAACUACCUGCCGUGAGCACGAAGCAUUUCCUUAGCAUGUAUACUCCAUCACCAAAAUACAGCAGUCAUGGAACAUGCAAUUCAAUUAAAAUCUAUCCAUUAGAGCACAAUUUGUUCAUAGUUUUCUGAAUAAAUCAGUAUUUCAGAAGAUUUUGAGUCGUUGGGGAUGAGUGAUGUAGGCAGCUUUCUGAAGUUGUAAUAAUCUUCUACUUGCAUGUUUGUUUGGGGUGAUUCAAAGUUCAAAAUGAAUAAUUUUGAGUAUUACAACCCUUAACUAUGAGAAUUUUUCCUAAUUUGGACUUUUCGGAGAUCAUAUUUGAAGGCUGCUUAGAUAAUUAGUGAAGAAAAUUGGGCUAAGUAGGCUUAAGUUCAAAUAGUAAAUUUUUUCUUUAUUUUAUGUUUGUUUUUUUUUUUUUUUGCUGAGGAAGACAGUUAGUUUCUGGGUCUCAUUUUUUGGAAUCAGAGUCCUAAGUUUCUUGCUAAUGUUGAUAGGUUUCAUUUCCUUCUACAAAAGUUUCUCUAAUUGGAUCCUUGGCUUCCUAAAUAUUUCCUAGUUUCCUAAUUUUGAAAUCGAAUUUUUUUAGGUAACUUAGAUUACAUGAAGCACCACCCAAUGACUAGAUCAACUGAAGUUGAGAAUAAAAAUUCACUAUUUUUCUUUUAAAUGAAUUAAAAAAGCUGGUGUGAGGCCAUAUUUGGGAGUGAUUCCUUCACCUCGAGGAAAGAUUCCCCAACUGUUUUUGUGGAGAGUGAUUCAAGAGCUCUACCAUAGGAUUGAGAGAGUUUAUCUAGAAGGUUAGAACCUUUUUAUUCCCCUCUUCUGUAACAUAUUCGCCUUUUACAAGUGCCCACAAUCGAAUUCUUAAUCUAUCGUCCCCAAUAAAAUUGAGCCUUCCUAAGCAGUAAUAUCAUAGCACAGCUUCCUAAACCUAUCACCUAAACCCCUUGCCUAUCAACCGUAAACUAGAUAUUACAUCACCUCAUCCCAUUCAAAUAUAUCAAUCACCCUCGUUGGCAUUUUUUAACAAUUUCAACCCCAUCAUCACCAUCUAAUCUUAACCCAAGUUGUUGCCCUAAUCACACCUAAACCUUCCCUAUCACCUCAUCUCCUAGACUUCCCCAUUUAGACAUUGAAUUCCCCAAAUCCUAUUCGAACUAGAAGACCUGAACACCACCUUUACCCUGCGUUUCUAUCUCGGUCGGAAAUCAAAACCUUUACAUCUCUCAAACCCUAAUCUAACUAGAACACCAAUCCAACCUCAAAACCCUUUUUUUCUAAGCCCACCUUAGGCGUUACACUCAUGCAGGAGCCAAGCCCCUUGAUGCUAGGCAUCAAUGAGGACGUUUAUCAAUGACUUCGCCAGCCCACAUUGGUGGUAUAACCACUCUGUGUUAUUAACCAUGAGUAGUGUGGAUUGCAAAUAUCCAACUGCUGAUUCAUGUACCAUAAUAUGCAAUUAUACAAUCCCAAAACAUAAAUUCCAUUCAAUAGCUUCAUGGAGACUCCUUGCAUCCCUGGAUGUCAAUGGAUUCUUGAAGAAUUUGAGAACUACUCCAUGUAAUUAAUGUAUCUUGGAUGCAAUUCAAGAACAAAGGGAGGCCAAUUCAGUGCCUGAUUAUCAGAUAUAUUGGCUGAGAAGAGUGAGUCUAGGAAGCAAGUGCCAUGGACCACAGGCCAAUGCAAGUAUGGACUCCAACUUUUGUAAUGGUCUCUAUUUUAUUUAAGCUGUUAUAGUACAUCCAAAAGAUGGAUUAAAAAACGAACAGAAAUGCUUCUCCAACUUUGAUGAUAUCAUCGUAGAAGUUAGAUAUAAACCAAUCCGAAUAAUAUUUUCUCUGAGGGAAUAAUUCUGAUAGCUUGUUGUGGUUCUAAUGAAACAAAUAAUUUAGCAAUGUCACAAGCCAUGAAAAUUUUGUUAAGGGGAUCAUGAUGUAUUGCUUCACAGAUAUAGCUUCUCUUACACCCUACCUUAAUAUUAAAUAUCACUCCACUGUACGUAACUGUUUUUGUACUUUGAGUCAAAUAAUUAAUAAACAUGAAUAAAUCUAUAUAAUUUUAUUCUCUUUCUGUACCUUAUGUCCAUCUACUAGGCUACUUGACAUAUUAUCAACAUAAAUUCAGUAUUCCUGUAUUGACUAUGGUACAUGAAGAUCACUCAAAAUAAUUUUCAUUACAAGCCUUCUUUUAAAAAUAAAAAAAAAGCAAAAGAAACAAGAAAAGAAAACCACUAACAAAAAUUUUAAUAUAUAAUAUCAGAUUGCAUAAUAUCACAACUUAUUCUCUUUUCCUACUUGUGCUUUCUUGACAUCACAGCCCAACUAAUAUUCCAUUACAUCUCUUCCAUACCCAGGGUCAGGAAUCAAUAUUCACUCAAUUUCUUCACCAAUGAACUACACAUAUCACUUCUCGUAAUACAAUAAACAUUCAUGAAUUUGCCUUUUUUUUUAUUGGUAAAUAUUUGAGAUUUCGCGCUAAAUGAUGUUUGUAGUCACCCCAAGCAAACCAAAAUUGUUAAAACUGCAAACAGGUCAAACCUCAAGAGACAUCUUCGUGCAAUAGCUUCUACAUGUGAAUCAUUCACAACAUCACCAUAUCGACUCAAACGUGAGCUCCCAAGACACUUGGUUCCAGUUCCCAUUGCUACAACUUGUAAUUCUGUUAAAAAAUAACAGAAAAUAUGCACGAAAAUAAAAAUUACAGACCCAAGACAAGGUUUACUUAUUUAUUGGUUUAUUUUACAGAUCAAAGUGAAUGACAAAGGUUGUGUCAAGUUUCAUGAAGUAUACAACCAAAAGGGAAUAACCCAAAAAGAUAAAAAGAAAAAGGAGGAAUAUGAUUAAGUUUUUCAUAACAAGGAAGACAAAUAAAUGAAGAAGAUUGCAUUUCAGAAAAAAUGCAAUGCAAAAUGCAUGCCAAACAAGAAGAGGCUUAUUGUCGCAAUGUAAAAGCAACCGAAAAACGGAAAAAGCGAAUGAGAUACUGUCUAAACUGCAAGAGAAAAUAAGGUCAUGAUUAUUUUCUUUCUUUUUUUUUGAAUAAAUAAGGUAAUGCUUGUUGGGUGUCAUAAAAUUUCUUUAAAAUUCAUAAUACAGCAAGAACUUAAAAACUGCAAACUCUCACUAACUCUGGCACUGGAUUUAGUAAUAUUUUCUCAACAAAGUUGUUAAUUGACGCAAUACUAUCUCAACUAUCAGUUAAAAUUUGGGUUUUUAACGUAAACUUUAGGGCAAAAUUGGGUCAUACCAUGAGAUGGAAAAGACACGAGAAACGCUGCCAAAACAGUAGUUUGACGGCCUUGGGGCUUUUCCCUUUUAGAGAGAGAAUACUUUCUUAGAUACCAGCUCGCCCCACGGCUCUGAAUACCAGUGACUAUCUUCGCCAGCAUCCAUGUUAUGGCUCAUGCCAAUGCAGCAGGAGCGGUCUAAAUAUUUUGCCUGCCGUGUACAGUUUACUCUUGAGGGAUCACAAAAUUGGCUAGGACCGGCAGUCGCAGAACAAAUUAUCGAAGGGAUGCUAUCGUACUUCAAAGCCCAAAUAGAGUUUUCUAUUUUUUAUUGGGAAAUUAUGGCUACUAUAUCUAUAUUUUCAAAAAAUUGGAAAAAAAAUCCACCUUCUCAAAACCUCGUCCACACCACACCUUUUUUUUCUAUUUUUAUAAAUUUUUAGACGAAACUACUUUUUACGAUAGUCUUUGCACAUUAAAAAGCAUUACGGUAUUUUUAAUACGGUAAUGUUUAGAUACCUUUAUACGGUAAUGGGAAUAUCGUAUUAAUAAAUAAAAUUUGUACGGUGAUAUGGUUACCGUAUUGUUUUUACAAUGAAUUAUGGUACUCGUAGUACCGUAAUACUUUCAAAAUUAUAUACGGUAAUAAAGUUACCGUAAUACUUCCAAAAUUAUAUUUUUUUUAUAAAACCCUAUUUUGACGAAUUGUUUAGCACUUUCAUCCUUUUUUAUCUCUCUCAUCCAUUUUUUAUCUCUCAUCUAUUUUCUAUCAUAUCUUCUAUUGUUUAUCAAUCUUUGGAGGAGGCCUCUGAGAGCAUCAAAUUUACACACCAACUGGUUUUUAGGUAUGUCAUCAAAAUAUUAUGUUGUUUUUAGCAUCUAAAAAAAUAUUAUGUUGGAUAAAUAAGUUUUAGAUUUAUUUAUAUUGUUGUACAAAUAAUUUUAGAUUUAUUUAAUGGUUGGCAAUCAAAAUAAUGUUUUCCUAUAACACUUGAUGUAGUUUGGUUGGACAUUAUAAUUUUUGUUUAUAUUUUGACAAUUGUAUUGCAAUCUAAUGUCCCUCAUGCAACCUCCUUACUAUUUGUAAGUAUUUUGAACUUCUUAUAAGUAUUUUAUUUAUAUUUCCAUCUGAAAUUUCUAUGCAGUGAUUCACAACGAAUGUAUUGCUGGCAUAGGCGUACAAGAUGAGCAUGAAUAAAAAAUCGAGCAGCAUAUGGACGACAUCGAUCAGGUAAAAAGCCCCUUGAGGAUUAACUGUUACAAAGUUGUACUUCAAGAUGUUUAGGAUUUUGAUGAUGUACAAGCAUGCCGUAAUCAUCUUAUUGAUUAUGCCAUAUCACAAAACUUCAAUAUGAAGUUUAUAAAAAGCGAUGGGAGACGUGUAUGGGCAAGGUAUGCUGCAGCUGAGUGUUCAUGGAAAAUGAGUUGUUAGAGGGUUAAUACAACAAACUUCUUCUGGGUGAAGAAGUUCAUAAACAUGCACUCAUGUGUCGACGAAAUAAUUAGGGUUCAUCAGCCACUUGCUCAAAGCCACUGGUGGUAAACAAGAUCAAAGACCGGUUGAAUAAUAUGCCCAAUCUUAUAUCUAGAGAUGUGGUUAAUGAUAUACAAUGUGAUCACGGUAUCAUGUUAUCUUACCAACAAGCUUGGCGGGGCAAAGAUGUUGCACAAACAUAUAAAUGAAGGUUUUCAUAUGAAGUCAUACGAGGAUAUCACUAAAUAUCUACAUAAGAUCCAAGUCACUAACCCUAGAAUCUUAACAAUUAUUCAAACAUAUGAUCAUAAUAGGGUUAAGCGUGUGUUUAUAGGCAAUCGUCCAUGUUUGUAUGGUUUUAUGUUUGGUUGUAGACCGCUAAUAGGAUUAGAUGAGAAAUUUUCGAAGGGAAGAUACAAAAUGAUAUUAUUGGCUGUAUUUGGGGUAGAUGCGAAUGAAAAUAUAUUUCCUAUAGCAUAUGCAGUGGUUGAGAGUAAAAAAACACUAAGUUAGACUUGGUUCCUAGAGUUUUUGAAUGAGUAGUUUUAAAUUGACUAUUGUCUCAGAUUAAGCUUAUGGGAGAAUUUUCAUAGAAGAUGGCCAUAUCCCUAGAAUGGAACGGCAUGCUUACAUCGAAGGAUCAAAAGGUAAUAGACCUGAGGAGGGAUAAGUCCAAAUUCCUUCAUACAGUCACAUGGGCACAUGAUAGUAUGUAUGAGAUCAUUGCGGAUAAGAAAUAUGCUCUUAAUCUAGCAACUCAUACAUGCAGUUGUCGGGUGUGGUAGGUUAGUGGGUUGUCGUGCAAUCAUGCAAUCGCCGCUAUAGAUCAUAGACAUGAAGAUGUUAUAAAUUUUUGCGGCGUUUAUUUCACUGUACCGUGGAGCACAUUCCAUUCCCUUCAACCCAAUGCUUGAUGUACUAGAAUUGCUAGAGAUUGUCUAUAAAACUAUAUGCCGCCAGCUGUAAGGUGAACCACGGGUCGGACAAAUAAACAUCACAGGCAAACAGAGUACAUAGAGAUUAGGCCUCUUUAGUGUAGCCGAUAAGGGGUUGUGGGCCAUAACUAGAAGACAUGUAAAUCAAGUAUAUAAAAUAAUGUAAAUAGGCUAUUAGUGUCAGUUGAUCUUUUUUUGAUAUGUCAUUUUGUAAAGAGGCCAAUGCUGAUAUCAAGCUAUCCAAUUUCACAUCAGAUGGUUAUAAUUAAUUAAGCUAUCCAAUUUCAAGCUAAAUGGUCUCUUUAAGCUAUCCAAUUGGAAGGUGCGUCUUACUUUGAUUGUUUAGGACCUUAGCUACAUACAAACCACACGCUUACCCGAUUCAUCUUCAGUUAUGGAAGUCUAACAAAAAGAAAAGGAAAUGGUAAAUGAACCACACAUAGGUCAAAUAUCAAGCAAACGAUUCUACAGAGUAAAUGCACUCUGUACCAUUUCAGGAUGAUGAUGAAAUCUCAAUAUAAAGUUUUCUGUUUUUUAAAAAAAUUCUCAUUAUGGUCUUGUUAGUACUGUAAUGAAUGUGAAGAUCAUCACGGUACUAACAAUACCGUAAUAAGCAUUACGGUAUUGUUAGUACCAUAAUGCUUUUAAACUUCAUUACAGUCAUAAAAAGACCGUAAGUUCACCGGUUUUCCAGUAGAUUUUUUACCAUUACGGUCUCUUUAAGACCGUAAUGUAUGUGAAGAUCAUUACAGUACUAAUAAUACCGUAAUGAGCAUUACGAUAUUGUUAAUACCGUAAUUCUUUAAAACUUCAUUACGGUCAUAAAAAGACUGUAAUGGUGAAAAGUUCACUUGAUUUCCAGUAGACUUUUGACCAUUACGGUCUUUUUAAGAGCAUAAUGUAUGUGAAGAUCAUUACGAUACUAACAAUACCGUAAUGAGCAUUACGGUAUUGUUAGUACCGUAAUGUUUUUAAACCUCAUUACGAUAUUGUUGGUACCGUAAUGCUCUUCACAUGCAUUACGGUCUUAAAAAGACUGUAAUAAGAAAAAAAAAAAAUUAAACUUUAUAUUGAUAUGUCAUCAUCAUCUUAUGGUAUAGAGUGCAUUUACUCUAUAGAAGGGUGUGGUUUGUAUAUUGUGAUAUUUGACCUAUACAUAAGGGUGUGGUUUGUAUCACUUGCUUAAUAUUUGACCUUUACACUGUAGAAUCACUUCCAUAACUGAAGAUGAAUCAGGUAGCUUGAAAAAUCUUUGUGGUAGCUUGAAAAUUUAUUUUCAUCUCUAAUUAUGAAAUUUCAAGCUUAAAUAGUGUAUAUCAAGAAGAUCUAUGGACUAUGUAAUGCAUCUUAAAGUGUUUUAUGAGUUGCUUCAACUACAAACUAUAAGAUGGCAAACCUUGCUGACUUUAGAAUGUCAUACAUGUGAUGUACCUAAUAUAUUGAUAUACAAAGCAAUUCACAUACAAACCAAUUGACAUACAAAGCAAUUCACAUACAAAUAAAACUUCUCAACUAUAGAUCUAGCCAUGUACAUAAAACUAUAUAGGCACUAAUGGCCUCUUUACAUAGUUUAAACACCACUACUGGCUUAUUUACAAUUAUGCAUUCAACCAUGCAUCCAGCCAAGUACACAUCAUGAAUGCUUUUGUCAUACUGGUAGCUUCUCAGCCCACUGUGGUAACUGCAACUCUGUAUCAGAGCUGCUCUGCUCCCGUUUUGCAACACGAUGACACAACUCCCAUCUGGGCUCCUCUAGUUGAAUCGGUGUGGGGAUGGGUUUUGUAUUACUUGGCCCCUUAUCUGGUCGAGAAGGAUGUCAUACUGGCACGUUAUCAUCCAGCUCAUCAUCAAAAUUCCCCUGCAACUUUUGGGUCAUACAUUUUAAGCACGUCUAAUGCUUCCCCAAUUAGGUUUAAAUUUCUUGAAUUGCAAUAAAAGUUGAGUUGCAUGACUGAUGUCCUUAGGCUGCAUCAAGUCAUAUAAAAUAUGAAAUUAGAUUAUUGAGAGUUCUAAAUUGCAUCAAGUCAUAUGAAAUAUGAAAAUAAAUUAUUACCAUUCUAUCUUCAGCAUUAUAACCUCGAGAUGUGUAUUUGGAUGGAUGUUUUCUAAAUGGAUUAUGGAUUAGGGGUCUAGUCAUUAGCUUGUACCACUCAAUGUAUUAUCGUGUCGGCUUCCCAUUGAACAUAUAUUCAUCUGCCUAACAAUAUAAUCUAAGCGAUGCGUCCACAUAUCUAUUUUAUCUCUUAGCUCAUCUCCCUAGUUGUCAAAGAUCUUCCCCAUUCUCUCCCUCCUCUCCUAUUGCAAGGGAUCUGCAGGUUUCAUUUGGUGAAGUCCAAACUGCCGUAGCACAAGAUCUGGCAUAUACUCCUCAUAGAUGUGUCUACAUAUGAGGUAUGUGCCACACAAAACAGUCUGAUAGACACGAAACCCAUAAUCUUUGUCCUCUGCAGUUUUCUCUCCUGUUUUAAGAUAAUCAUCGUAUGAGGUCCAUAUGACCUACGUAAAAAAUAAGAUAAUUUUUAAUAUAAAUAACAUGCAUCUAAAAUUAAUUAAAUUAUAAAUAAACAAAACAAAAUAUAACUAUAUUAUACUAACAUCAUUUAUUCGCCCGUUAUCAAGCUCCUGUCGCCCCACGAGACCAAAGUUGUGAGUGUUAUCUCAUUCUUUAGGAGGGGCCCACCUGAGGGAUCUAGUUUGCCCUGUACUUAUUUUUUUUGGAAUUAGGUACAACAAUUGAAAAUGCUCAUACGCCCAACACUAGAUUACAUAUAUAAAAAAAUAAGAAUCACAACAAAUAUCUAUCGAACUUUAAAAAAAAUAUCAAAACACUAAGAUACUACCACUAUUAGCAAGAGAGUUGCCGAUCCACUUAGGUGUUGAUGAUCAGCAUGAACAACCUUAGACAAGGCUCGAAACAAAAACGCUAACACAGUUGCACCCCAUGCAUACUGACCAACUACAUCGAUAUCCUCAAAAAGUUGUUAAUGGAUGGUAGGAACCGGUACCAUAAGUGAAAUCCGUAAAUAUUGUGCACCCAACUAGAUAUAAGAGGUAGGCACGAGUGUAUCGUAGAAGAGUAGCGUGGUUAUGGUUUUAUGGUAGCCGCUUAAACGUGUUCCUCAACCAUGUCAAUUGGAUACUGGAAUGACUACGACUAGGUGGCAGCUGUCAUAUCAUACAGACUAUAUGAUCCUCGUAGUUCUCCACUCUUCACGAUUACAACUACACCAGUCACCUUUAACCGAAGAAUUUUUCAUGUAUCUUCAAGUGUAGGCAUCAUCUCUCUGAUGUCUACAUUGAAGUGCCCCGUGUUCGUCUCUACGCGCCACUUCUCGAUAAUUGUAGAUGAUGUGCCACGGUCAUGCUGACUCAUCAACACUAUGGUCAGGUGAUACAAUCCUGAUCUUCUGACCAAAUCAAUUUGAUCGUUGUUCGUUAACGGUCAUGAAGAAUUUGCAUUGGGCUUCUCAUCAAUUAUGAGGGUAUUUUCCCAAUCCUGAAAUAGAAUUUGUCAUUUCAGAUACUAAACUAUAUAUAUUGAUUAACUCCAUGAUAGACAAAUAAUAUAAUUUUAAAUACUUGUACAUACAUCUCUUCCCAAAGCUUAUGUGAUAUAUGUUCUCUUUGUCUAGUGAACAAUAUAAGAAUCUCAGGACCUCCAGGGAAGGGUGCAUCUUCUGACAUGAUCACUGUUCAAAAUACCACCAUACAUAAAAAAGGCAUCAUAAAUAAAAAUUCCAUGAAUUUGGUACCUAUAUUUAAAACCACUAUAUCUACAACUUAGACUCUAUUCCAAACUAGAACUCAUGCUAUCAAAGAAAUGCCAUAAAAGUGUUAUUUUUAUUUUGUCUUAUUGUGAUUGAUAUAUGCUAGUUUAGGUUGCACAAAAUGCAGGGAAGGAUUACCAAAUAAGGUAAUGACCUUAUGUCAAAACAUGUCGAACAUUUCGACAAGGAUUUCAGGCUAUUUCGAAAAUGAUUCAUAUGUUUUUUGUAGUUUUAUUUUGUCUUAUUGUGAUUGACAUAUGCUAGUUUAGGUUGCACAAAAUGCAGGGAAGGAUUACCAAAUAAGGUAAUGAACUUAUUUUUCAUCCAAAAUACAGGAUACCAUUACACAAGCUUGAACAAUAUUUAGUUUCAAAUCAAAUAUUAAACUUUUAUUGAUCAUAAAGCCAUAAAAAAAAACCCAAAUUUUGAUCUCUAAAAUAAAUAUACACCCUAAUCUAACAACUAUUUCUUACCUCAAAUAUGUGAUGAGGGAUAGAGAGAUUGAGCUCUAGAAGACCGUAACCAGCAGCCUUCUAAUGGCAGAAUGAAGAUUGUACUUGUUUGAACAAAUACGGCAGAGCAACAGAAUGAGGGUUUUGCUGUUAGGGUUUAUACGCCAAACUACUACAGCAAUGCGAUUGCCGUAAUGAAUGUUGAAACAUUAUGAUAUUAAGAAUACCGUAAUGCUUUGUUUUCUCAUUAUAGUACUAUACUUAUCGUAAUAUUUUUUUAAACUAUUACGGUAUUAAAAAUACGGUAGUAAUAUCUUAAUUUGUUAUGGUAAUUACAUUACCAUAAUGAUUAAUAAUUUACGGUACAAAGACUACUGUAAAGGGUAGUUUCAUCCAAAAAUUCACGAAAAUAGGGAAAAAGGUUGUGGGCGAGGUUUUGGGAAGAUUUUUUUUCCAAUUUCUUUAAAAUAUAGGUAUAUUAGCAAUAAUUAUCUUUUUUUUUAUUUUAUAAAAAUUAUAUUUAUGUGAAUUUGAAUUAUAGUUGUAUUUUUAUUUGGGCCAACCAAAUAAAAUAAUAAAAUAUUUGAACCAAAAUAUUGACGAGAAUACCCUUAAAACCAAUUUACAAGUAAUGUGGUCAACUUUUUUGUUGAAAUCGAUUUUAUUUUUUAUUUGGUAAUAUGUAAAUUAUCAUCAUCGUAGUUUUUUUUUAAUGCACGAAUCCUGGUCUACCAUUCUGCCUUAUUUCAGGCCAUACCCUCAGCGAGGUCAUAAGUCCCCAUAGUGUUUGGAGUACUACCAACCAUUUCGUUUUGAGCCUACCCCUUGUCAUUUUCAAUCCUUCCACUUAAACUAACUUGCACCUCUUGACAAAUGUUGUAUUGGGUCAAUGCCACACAUGGUCAAACCACCUAAGUCUACUCUCUCAUCUUAUCAUCUAUUGAUGCUGCAGCUAAACUUUGUCGAAUGAAUUCAUUUCGGAUUCUAUUUUUUUUUAUCUUGUCACUCAUCCAUCUCAACAUCUUCAUCUCCGCUACACUAUUUUAUGGGCUUUUUUUUUUCCGCUCAACAUUCUGUGGCAUAGAGUAAAGUUGGUAUCACAGUUGUCCUAUAGAACUUACCUUUCAACGUCAUUGAUAUGUGGUAAUCACAUUUGAUAAUAUUUAAAUGAAUAUAAUAAAUAAAAUAUAAAAUUCUUUUGUGAUUGUUUGAUGUGACCAUUUUUAAUCUGAACCGUUAAAAUGAUGCUUCUGCACCCUUCCAUGACCCACAAGAUAUGGACAGGAGAGCUUCUCAUUAAGGAGAUGCUUCUGCACCCUUCCAUGACCCACAAGAUAUGGACAGGAGAGCUUCUCAUUAAGGAGAGUGCUUGGUGAGUCGCUACCCAAUGGAACGCUUAAAAAGAAAAAAAAAGAUAAAGGUUUAGAUGAAUCAGCCGACACAUCAAUUUAACACGUCCUCUCUCCAAAAUCUAUUUUAAAGAUGGAUUUGAGAUUCAGAAUUGGAAAAAGUUUAUAUAAGGCUGUAACUUUGUACUAUAGAAGUAAUGUGUACCUCAAAAAUCCAAUACGGAGUGUUCCAAAGUUGGAAAACUUUCCUAUUAAUCAUCUUGAUCUCAAGAUUAUGGUGAAAAAAAAAAAUUCCAAGUUGUAAGAAUAGUUCAUCUUGUAACAAGUUAUUUAGACUAUAUAUUUUUUAGAUUUUGAAUAUUUUACAGAUUUGCUCAAUUUGUAACUUUUUAAAAAUUUUGAAUUUCGUAAUUAAUGUUGAACAUAAAUUUUCAAAACACUACAUUUUUUGUUUUUUUUUUUAGACAAAUUCAAACCACUAUAAGGUUUCUGAUGCCAGAACUACAUAUUGUAGCAAAAUUUAGAAGUGCAAACUACUUAUAUCGUAUGCGGUGGGUACAAUAUACAAAUAUCACCUAGCACAAGUUUAGAGAAUGAAAAUCUCAAUCAUGAUAAGUAGGAACUUGAAAUAAAUACAUAAAUUUUAAAAAUAAAAAUAAAGUUUUUUUGACAGUUUCUGACAGGGUUGAUUUUCAAUUUUUGUGGGGCUACCAUUUGUUAACGUCCAUCUUCAAUGGAUGGACGCUAUUCUAACAGUGUAUCCUUUAUGCAUAAAAUAGUUUUCCAAAAAAAAGAAAAGAUGAUUCAACCAAAAUUCAAAAUGAAUGGUCUAAAAAAAAUUAAAAUUUAGAAGAAUCCUAUUUAUUUUUAAAAAUUUAAAAAUAGUCUCAUAUAUUUUAAAAUUGAGUGUGGUUUCUAUAAGGAUGCAACCUUAAAUAAUCCAAUUAAGGUGUACCUCCAAAUUUUAUCAUAACAUGUAUUUUUUGUGAAAAUAAUUCUUAGAAUUAUCUCAAAAUCUAUUUUCAUAUCUAAUUAUAAAAUUUUAAAUUAAAAAAAUAGUUAAAAUCAAGCAGAUCUAUAAGCAUAUGAAGAUCUUGAAAAUGGAUGGUCUAGAUCAUGUAUUGCAAAAUGCACUAUUUUUGGGACUCAAAAUCUUUUUUUUCUUUCAUAUUCAUACAUCUCAAUGGCGAGAUGCUUCAUUAGAGGUUUUUUUAACAUUAAAAUAACCUUUUCCGAUGGAAUUUUGAGGUGCAUCUGUAGUUCUACAUUUUAACGGUGCAACCUUAUAUAAACUUUUCUUUUAAAAUUUACACUAAAGUCCCAUUUUUUAUAUUAUAAAGAGUAUUUUAAUUUCAUUUUUUAUUCUAUAUAUUUGAUUAAGUUCAAAUUUGGUAUAUCCAUAUUUAUCACUAUCAUACACUUAUAAAAAUAUUUAAAACAUAAUUUGAAAUGGAACUUGUAGCUUUAGUUAUUGUUCGUUUAUAUUUGUAAAAUACUGUUUUAUUCAAUGUUGUUGGAGAAAAGAUAAUCAGGGUUUGUAGAAGAAGUUGGCUGGUGUUUACUCUCACAAAUUGGAUUCUAUUGAAGAACAUAUUUUUCAACUUGAGGUUGAGACAGGGGACAAAAGCUUCCGAUCUUGAACACUUUCAAAAAUUGAAAGUGAUGGAUGAGAAAUAAAGGAUAAAGAUAAGAUAGUGAUAUUGUUGUGUGCAUCACCAGGGUGCUAAGAUGAUUUGAUGACAACUAUAAGUGGCACCAAGAAGGACUCACUUGAUUUGAGUAUGGGUUCUAGUGCAUUUCUUGUCCAUGAACUCCAAAAGAAGCAUCUCUGGUUGAACAUAAGUUGGAAGUGCUCAUGAGAAGGGAUCAAUCAAAUGACUGGGGUAAUUCAUCUUGAGAACCUUCAAGAAGCAAGUCCAUGACCCAAUCACAGUCCAUUGUUCUGAUAAACUACUUUGUUUGUUGGGCAUGUUGAAAGUAAGACCUAUGUUUCUUUUUGCCGGUGGAUAUAAAUUUUUUUUUUUAAUCAUCUCUUUUGCUUUAGCAAAAAAGAUCACUUACAGAUGGCCUUAUUAGAAUCAAUAAAUAUUUCAAAAUAAAGGCAUCUUAACAAUAAAAUAAAACUCAACCACUUGAUGUCAUUUAUACAACUAAACACUAUGCUUGAGAAUAAAAAAUAAAUUUGUAUGAAAUAAAAGAAGAUGUCGGAGAUUACCUCAACCGGGCUUAUUACACCCCACACCGAGUCACGGAUAUCAGAUGGUGCGAGAUUAGUGGUCUAGCUUCAAUCUCGAACUGGAAACGCCAAUUUCAGUCAAACUGAGUAAGCACCCUUAAAUCUCUAAAAAAACCCUAACCCCAAAACUAAUUUAGGCUUAACUCUAAUUUUCCAACCCUUAGUAUCUUUAGAUCAAGAGAGAGAGAGAGAGGGAGUAGGUGGCCUAGGGUUGGGGCGUGCCCCCUAUAGGUCAUAGGGGAGAGAGAGAGGGUUAAAGAGAGAAAUCUUGAGGAGAGAGAGUGGGGCAUGCCUCUCUAGGAGAGAGAUGAGAGAGAGUUCUCGGAGAGAGAAGGUGUAAUAAUCCUAAAAUUUAAAAAAAAAAAAAAAAAAAAAAAAAAAGACUUUUAUAAGUGAUGGUCCAUAUAAGUAUGAUGGUCCUUAGGGAUCAUCACCACUUUUGUUAACCUUUUACCUUCCCUUUUAACACCUCCCUUGGUUGGAUGGGACUUAAAGCAUUUAUGUUUAAUAUAAACGUUACACCUCGUGUAUGAGGUGUAACUUAAUAAAAUAUUAUUAUAAGGUGUUGUAAGAGUUUAAAUACGAGAGGCGAGGACUCGCACCUUAGAAAAUUUUGAGGACUCUUUCUCUCUAGCUGAAUUUUUAUUGGAAGCUCCCUCUCAAAAUAUUUUAGGUAAGUGACUUCAUUAUCUUGAAAAAUAAUCCGUUCUUUUUAAAAAUGAAAUGAAAUAAUUAUUUAUGCUUAUUAUCAUGAUCUUUAGGCGCGAUAAAUUUUAUGCGCAAGCUAACUCAUUAUUUUGAAAAAUAAUAUUUUUAAGAAAAUUGUGAUAUUUUAUCUAUGUCAGAAAUUCUAAAUGCUGUAAAUUCUUAAAAAUAAAUUUAUUUAUUUUUCUUGUCUAUUGUUAGAAAAUUUUAGAUACUGUAAAAUUAUUAGAAAUAAAUGUGAUACUUAUGCUGUUAGUAAAAUUGUGACAUUUCUUUCUACUGUUUUUGAAUAUUUAGACAUUGUAAAUUUCAUGUGCAAAUGACUACCUUAUUAUCUGAAAACUGAUAUUUUUGUAAUUGAUUAUAGCAUUGUUUGUGAAAUAUUUAUUUCUGAAUUGACAUCUCAUAAAUUGUGAUAAUUUCGUAUUCUUGAAAUUCUAUAAGAGUUUUUUUAUACAUAUUAAAUUGUCAAUUAUGCUAGAUUGUCUUUACGAACUGCUACCUUUCUAAAUUUGAGCCCAAGAUAUUUGAUUGGUUAUUUUUGAAAGUGACUGUUAUUAAUGGUUUAAGUUAAAUUCAUAUUAAUGAUUUCAGUGAUAUGCUGAGUACAUGAUAUUGCUGCUUUCGAAUGUUCAAAGAGAUUUAGAAAUAUUUUAAGUAUGCAAGUGGACUCAUCCGGUUCGUCGGUGAGGUAUAAGUGGACCUAUCCGGGACGCCGGUAUGGAUUAAGUGGACUCAUCCGGUACACCGGUGAGGUAUAAGUGGACCUGCAGGGAUUAAGUGGACUUAUCUGGGAUGCCGAUAGGGAUUAAGUGGACCCAUCAGGACGCUGAUGGGGUAUAUAGGUGACCUACUUGGGACGCCAGUAGGGUAAUUUUGUUAAAUCUUUUGAAUUAUGCACUGCCGAUAAAAUGUUAUAUGCAUUUCAAUCAUUUGGAUUAUGUUUAAUUGUGAAUUUCUGAAAGUGAAAUUGUUAUCUAUAAAUGCUAGUGCUCGCAUUGUUUUUAAUUGACCUCCAUUUUGAAAGUUCGUUUAUAUCUUCUAAUCAUGAUUAUUUUGUUAGGAUUAUGAUGAUCACUUACUGAGUAGCCAAACUCAUCAAACUAUGGUAAACAUUUUUUUAGGCUAACUGCGGUUUUAUUUUGAGUACUCGUCAAGUGCAACUUUGGAAGAUAUUGUAGUUGUGCCUAAGCUUUCUUUUGUUACUUUGUAAGAAUUCGCCACUGUAAAUUUGUCUUAUCAAGAGAUGUAUAUAUGUUUUGACUGUCACAUCUCAGGAAUAACAGUAUUGUAAAUUCUUGGGGUAUGACAAUUAUGGUAUCAGAGCAAUAGGUUAAAGAUUCUUAGGAAAUUUUUUAAAAAAUAUACUUAAAAUCACAUUUAUUACGUGUACAGACUGGGACGAAGUCAUGAUCCAGAAUAGCUAAAGCUAUUAUGGAAGGAAUUCACAAAGCUUUGGAAAGUAUGGUUACUCUAAUGCAACAUCAGAUGGAAAACAACAAUUCACCUAAGCAGUCAGUCACGGGAAAUGGUGGGAGUGAUAUCGAACAAUUUAAGAAAUUGAACCCACCUUCUUUUAAGGGUGUUGUAAACCCACUGGAAGCCGAGGGAUGAAUUAUGCAUAUGGAGAAAAUAUUCAAGGUAAUGGAAUGUCUUGAUGAUAAGAAGGUGGCCUUGGCAAUUUUUAUGUUAGAAGAAGAAGCACAACAUUGGUGGCGAAUGGCAAAAUGAGUAUUGGUUAAAGAAAAUAAACCCUUAACUUGGGAAGUAUUUCUAGAGACAUUUAAUGAAAAGUAUUUCCCAGAUUUUAUUCGAGACAAAAAAGAAAUAAAAUUUCUGGAAUUAAUCCAAGGAAACGGGACAGUAGCACAGUACGAGGCUAAGUUUACUGAAUUGUCCAGGUUUGCACCACAUAUGAUUAACAAUUUGAUAAGAAAGGUGAAGAAAUUUGAAAGGGGUCUCAGGCCAGCUAUUAAAAGCAGAAUAUCAAUCUUAAAAUUGAGAACUUAUGCUGAAAUAGUGGAUCGAGCCCAAAUUGUUGAAAAAGAUUUCGAAGAUUACCAAAAGACGAAAAAUCAGAAAAUCCAUGUUAGACCCACACCAUCUAAUCGACAACAAUUUGAAAUGACAAACAAGAAGCCAAGGCCCUUGCCACUUCAAAGCCCAAUAGAACCAUAUAAGAAAUGUGGGAAAAACCAUGAAUCCAGCCCUUGUUAUUGGAAUACCGGAGCCUAUUUUAAAUGUGGAAAAUUGGGGCAUCAUAUUAGACAAUGUCCUAACUUACAGAUGCAACAGCUUCCAAAGCAAGAAGAGAUAGCUCAAAAGCCUCAGAUAAAGGGAAGAGUAUUUGCGAUCACCGAGCAAGAUGCUCAAGCCUCAAAAUCAGUGAUCCAACGUACUCUUAUUAUUUUCCAAAAAGUAGCUCAUGUUUUGAUUGAUCUUAGAUCUACUCAUUCAUUUUUGUCAUCACACUUUGCAUGCCACUUAAAGGUAGAACCAGAACAAUUAGAAUACAUUUUAGAGGUAGCCACACCGAUGGAAAAUUCAAUUAACACCAAUAUAGUGUACAAAUCAUGUGUAAUAAAGAUAGAAGAAAAGGAACUGUUGGUUUAUUUAACUGAAAAUUCAAGAUUUUGAUGUAAUCUUAGGCAUAGAUUGGCUUUCUGCAUACCAUGCAAGUAUUGAUUGUUAUAAGAAAAUGGUUACCUUUAGUAUUCCGAAUCAACCAGUAUUUUACUUUAAUGGUAUCAAAGAAGACUCCCCAUCAUAUUUAAUCUCCUGUAUUCGAGCUAAUCGUCUUCUUCGAAAAGGGUGUCAAGGUUUUCUUGCCUAUAACAAAGAAGAUAGGAAGGAAGAGAUAAAUUUGGAUACCACUCCGGUUGUCCGAAAAUUUCUCGACGUUUUUCUUGAAGAAUUGCCAGGAUUACCGCCUGAAAGGGAAAUUGAAUUAUUGUCAGGGGUGGCCCCAAUUUUUAAGGCACCUUACAGAAUGGCUCCUGCAGAACUUAAGGAACUUAAACAACAAUUAGAAGAAUUAUUAGAUAAAGGUUUUAUCGGGCCCAAUGUGUCACCUUGGGGUGCUCCGGUAUUGUUUGAUAAAAAGAAAGACGGGAUCAUGAGAUUGUGUAUCGAUUAUAGACAGUUGAACCAAGUGACAAUGAAAAAUAAGUAUCCAUUACCUAGAAUUGAUGAUUUAUUUGACCAAUUACAAGGAUCACAAGUAUUUUAAAAAAUUGAUCUUACAUCUGAAUACCAUCAGCUUAAGAUUAAAAGUGAAGAUGUUCCCAAGAUAGCUUUUAGAACAAGGUAUGACCAUUAUAAAUUUUUAGUCAUGCCUUUUGGAUUAACCAAUGCACCGACUACAUUUAUAGAUUUGAUGAAUUGGAUCUUUAAGCCCUUUUUGGAUAAAUUUAUUGUGGUAUUCAUCGAUGAUAUUUUAAUUUAUUCCAAGAAUCAGAAGGAACAUGAGCAACAUGUAAGAAUGGUAUUGCAAAUAUUAAGAGAAAAGAAAUUGUACGCCAAACUUAGUAAAUGUGAAUUUUGGCUUGAACAAGUGACAUUUUUAGGACAUGUCAUAUCAAAGGAAGGUCUAUCAGUUGAUCCUUUAAAGGUUGAAGCCGUUGUGAAUUGGAAACAACCAAGUAAUGUGACUGAAGUUCGAAGCUUUUUGGGAUUAGCAGGAUAUUACAGAAAAUUUGUAAAAGGAUUUUUCGAAUCGCUAACCNNNNNNNNNNNNNNNNNNNNNNNNNNNNNNNNNNNNNNGAACUAAAAGUUUGAUUAACUUUAGCACCUAUUUUAACUAUUCCUAAGGGGAGUGAGGGAUUUGUGAUUUAUAGUGAUUUUCACAUAAAGGCUUGGGCUGUGUAUUAAUGCAAUAUGGGAAAGUAGUGGCACAUGCAUCCAAAUAGUUGAAAGAAUAUGAGAAAAAAUAUCCAAUUCAUGACUUGGAGCUGGCUGCAAUAGUAUUCGCUCUAAAAAUAUGGAGGCAUUAUCUAUAUGGUCAGCAAUUCGAAAUAUACACGGAUCAUAAGAGCUUGAAAUACAUAUUCUCUCAAAAGGAUUUAAAUAUGCGGCAGAUAAGAUGGAUGGAUUUAUUAAAAGAUUAUGAUUGUACAAUCCAUUAUCAUUCAAGAAAAGCUAACGUUGUGGCUGACGCUCCAAGUAGAAAAUCUACGGGAGUCUUAGCUCAUCUAAUGAUCCAAGAAAUGAGAUUGUUAGAGGAAAUAGUGGAUUGGCACUUGACUCCGUCCAUUAAUGGUGUGGUAAGUAUGAUUGCCAACAUUAAGGCAGAACCCCAACUAAUCCAACAGAUCCGAUCGACACAAAAGAAAGACCCUCAGCUUAUAACAAUUAUAGAAGAAGUGAAGCAAGGAAAAAGAGAUUAAUUCUGUAUAUGUAGUGAGGAUUUGCUAAGAUUCAAAGGUCAGGUUUGUGUCUCGAAUGAUGAGAGUGUGAAGAAAACUAUUUUUGGAAGAAGCACAUCACUCUCGUUAUACAAUACAUCUCAGAAGUAUUAAAAUGUAUCAGGACCUGAAGAAAACCUUUUGGUGGAAUAAUAUGAAAAAAGAGGUAGCACUAUUUGUGUCUAAGUACUUAACAUGCCAGCGAGUAAAAGCUGAACAUCAAAGGCCCGCUAGGUUGUUGCAGCCUUUACCCGUGCCAGAAUGGAAGUGGGAGCACAUAUCUAUGGAUUUUUUCUCUAACUUGCUUAGAACAAAUUCGAGACAUGAUAGCAUUUGGGUCAUUGUGGACCUUCUGACCAAAGCUGCUCAUUUUCUGCCGAUUCGCACGAUGUACACUUUGGAUCAACUGGCCCAGUUGUACAUUAAGAAAAUAGUGCGGCUGCAUGGAGUUCUGGUCAGUAUUGUAUCGGACAGGGAUAGUCGGUUUACUUCUAAAUUCUGGGCUAGGCUACAGUCAGCCAUGGGGACGAGACUCACCUUUAACACUGCCUUUCACCCCCAAACUGAUGGACAAUCGGAGAGGAUCAUCAAAACCUUAGAAGAUAUGCUGAGGGCCUGUGUCAUUUACUUUACAGGAAGUUGGGAUGACCAUUUACCCCUGAUUGAGUUUGCUUAUAAUAAUAGCUUCCAAGCCAGUAUUCAGAUGGCACCAUAUGAAGCCCUGUAUAGAAGAAAAUGCAGGACACCUAUUUGUUGGGACGAGGUGGGUGAAAGAAAGCUUUUGGGGUCAGAAAUUGUCCAGAUAACCACAGAUAAGAUAACAUUAUUUCGUGAAAGGCUCAAGACAGCUCAGAGUCGGCAAAAGAGUUAUGCUGAUAACCGAAGGAGAGAUCUUGAAUUUGAGGAAGGUGAUCGAAUUUUCCUAAAGAUCUCACCAAUAAAAGCCAUUAUGAGAUUCGACAAGAAAGGAAAGCUAAGCCCACGUUACAUCGGACCAAUUGAAAUUCUGGAAAGAAUUGAACUUGUCGCUUAUAGACUUGCCUUACUACCUGAAUUGAUAAAUGUCGAUAAUGUCUUUCAUGUAUCUUCACUACGAAAAUAUCAGCCCGACCCAUCCCAUAUAUUGAAAUAUGAACCUUUACUGAUCAGGAAGGACCUAUCCUUCAUUGAGCAGCCAAUUUUGAUACUGGAUAAAAGGGUGCAAGUGUUGCGCAAGAAGGAGAUUCUUUUGGUCCGUGUAUUAUGGCAGUACCAGUCAAGAGAGGAGUCGACUUGGGAACGAGAAGACGAUAUCAGAGAAAAAUAUCCCUAUCUUUUUCAAUAAUCAGGUAAAAAAAUUUAGAGGACUAAAUUCUUUAAGGGGGGGAAGAAUGUAAUAAUACUAAAAUUUCAAAAAAAAAAAAAAAAAACGAGAGAGAAAAUAAACUUUUAUAAGUGAUGGAUGGUCCUGAGGGACCAUCACCACUUUUGUUAACCUUUUACCUUCCCUUUAACACGUCCGUUGGUUGCGUGGGACUUAAAAGAUUUUACGUUUAAUAUAUACGUUACACCUCGUGUAUGAGGUGUAACUUAAUAAAAUAUUAUUAUAAGGUGUCGUAAGAGUUUAAAUACGAGAGGCGAGGAUUCCCACCCUAGAAAAUUUUGAGGUCUCUCUCUCUCUAGCUAAAUUUUUAUCGAAAGCUCCCUCUCAAAAUAUUUUAGGUAAGUGACUUCAUUAUCUUGAAAAAUAAUUCGUUCUUUUUAAAAAUGAAUGAAAUAAUUAUUUCUAUUUAUUAUC
rnacentral:lncRNA from 1 species